AUUUUUUUUGUGGCGUAGCACAUUUCCCUUCACCAGCCUCAACACUCUCCAAACUUCCAUCGCUUUCUACACUGAGAAAACAGUUGCUUUGUAUCCUCCGAUCCUUAAGAGCAUGAGGGACAUUGAGGCAACACCUUCAAAUGCCUAUUGGCAAGCAAAACACGGUAGGGAAGGGUGCCAAGCAAAGUACGUGAACUAUUUUUUUACUUGGCCGGGCAAGAUAAAUUCUGAACCUUACACCAAAUUGAGUUAAUGGCAAUGUUCUAUCCCCUUUAUACGUCUGAGCUUCCUCUCAUGUUGGUUAUCUCAUUGGUAUACCUCACAGAAACAUCAGGAGUUAAAUAUAUAUUUUAUUGUCCCAUCAAAGGGCAAAUCUUACCCAAAUGAUAACCGACUGGCUAAUGCUUGAUAUAUCUCCAACGUAUCUAUAAUUUUUGAUUGCUCCAUGCUACUUUACCUACUGUUUUGAGCAAUAUUGGGCUUUAUUAUCCACUUUUAUAUUAUUUUUGGGACUAACCUAUUAACCGGAGGCCCAGCCCAGAUUUGUUGUUUUAUGCCUAUUUCAGUGUUUCGAGGAAAAGGAAUAUCAGACGGAGUCAAAAUGGAACGAAGCAACCCAGAGAACUUGGAGUGCACGUCAUGGGAGAUACAGGUUGCCCACGAGGGUGGGGGGCGCCCCCCCCGGCGCGCCCCCUGCCUCAUGGGGCCCCCGUAGCUCCUCCGACGUACCCCCUGCACCCAUAUAUACUCUUGUACCCUAAAACUUCCAGAACAGAAGAUAGAUCGGGAGUUCCGCCGCCGCAAGCCUCUGUAGCCACCAAAAACCUCUCGGAAGCCCGUUCCGGCACCCUGCCGAAGGGAGGAUCCUUCACCGGUGGACAUCUUCAUCAUCCCGACGCUAUCCAUGACGAGGAGGGAGUAGUUCACCCUCGGGGCUGAGGGUAUGUACCAGUAGCUAUGUGUUUGAUCUCUCUCUCGUGUUCUCUCUCGUGUUCCUCUAUGGCACGGUCUUGAUGUAUCCCGAGCUUUGCUAUUGUAGUUGGAUCUUAUGAUGCUUCUUCCCUUCUACUCUCUUGUGAUGAAUUGAGUUUCCCCUUUAAAGUUAUCUUAUCGGAUUGAGUCUUUUAUGAGAACACUUGAUGUAUGUCUUGCCGUGAUUAUCUGUGGUGACAAUGGGAUAUCAUGUGCCACUUGAUGUAUGUUUUGGUGAUCAACUUGCGGGUUUCGUGACAUUGGGAACCUAUGCAUAGGGGUUGGCACACGUUCUUGACUCUCCGGUAGAAACUUUGGGGCACUCUUUGAAGUACUUUUAUGUUGGUUGGAUGAAUCUGAGAUUGUGUGAUGCAUAUCGUAUAAUCAUGCCCAUUGAUACUUGAGGUGACAAUGGAGUAUCUAGGUGACAUUAGGGUUUUGGUUGAUUUGUGUCUUAAGGUGUUAUUCUAGUACGAACUCUUUUAUAGAUUGAUCCGAAAGAAUAGCUUUGAGGUGGUUUCAUACCCUACCAUAAUCUCUACGUUUGUUCUCCGCUAUUAGUGGCUUUGGAGUGACUCUUUGUUGCAUGUUGAGGGCUUGUUAUAUUAUCUAUCUAUGUUAUUAUUAUUGAGAGAACUUGCACUAGUGAAAGUAUGAACCCUAGGCCUUGUUUCCUAUCAUUGCAAUACCGUUUACGCUCACGUUUAUCACUUGUUACCUUGCUGUUUUUAUUAUUUCAGAUUACAAAUACCUUUAUCUACCAUCCAUAUUGCACUUGUAUCACCAUCUCUUCGCCGAACUAGUGCACCUAUACAAUUUACCAUUGUAUUGGGUGUGUUGGGGACACAAGAGACUCUUUGUUAUUUGGUUGCAGGGUUGUUUGAGAGAGACCAUCUUCAUCCUACGCCUCCUACGGAUUGAUAAACCUUAGGUCAUCCACUUGAGGGAAAUUGGCUACCGUCCUACAAACCUAUGCACUUGCAGGCCCAACAACGUCUACAAGAAGAAGGUUGUGUAGUAGACAUCAAGCUCUUUUCUGGCGUCGUUGCCGGGGAGGCUAGGUAAGUGAAGGUAUAUCUUUAGAUCUUGCAAUUGAAUCUUUUUUUUCUUGUUUUAGCACUAGUUAGUCUAUAAAAGAAAAUUACAAAAAAAAUGGAGUUAAGUUUGUCUCAUACGCUUCACCUUUUUAAUAUCUUUCGUGAGUAUGAUGGAAAGGAUAAUUGUGCUCAAGUGCUAGAAGAAGAAAUCUCUAAAUUGUUUGGCACUAAAUCUUUGAAUGAUGAGCAUGAUUGCAAUGUUGUUAGUAUGAAUUUCUUGAAUAUCCAUGAUUCUAAUGAUAUGCAAAGCCACAAGCUUCGGGAAACUAUGUUUGAUGAAGAUGAUAUUUUUUGUCCCCCAAGCUUUGAUGAGCAAAUUUACUAUGAUGAAAGCAUGCCUCCUAUCUAUGAUGAUUAUUGUGAUGACACGUAUGCUUUAAAGAAUAAUGAUAACCAUGAAACUUGUCAUCUUGAUCUUAAUUUUCAAUCAUAUGAUAGUUAUUUUGUUGAGUUUGCUCCCACUACUAUUCAUGAGAAGAAUUUUGCUUAUGAGGAGAGUAGUAAAUUUUCUAUGCUAGUAGAUCAUGAAAAGAAUGCUUUAGGUGCUGGUUAUACUGUUGAAUUUAUUCAUGAUGCUACUGAAAAUUAUUAUGAGGGAGGAACAUAUGCUUGUAGGAAUUGCAAUAAUAUAAAGUUUCCUCUCUAUGUGCUUAAAUUCUUGAAGCUAUGCUUGUGUUACCUUCCUAUGCUUGUUGAUUAUUGUUCCCAUAAGUUGUUUGCUCACAAAAUCCUUAUGCAUAGGAAGUGGGUUAGACUUAAAAGUGCUAGUCAUGUGCUUCAUGAUGCUCCCGUUAUGUUUCAAUUCUUAUCUUUUAUGUGAGCAUCAUUGUCAUCAUCAUGCCUAGCUAGAAAGGCAUUAAAGAAAAGCGCUUGUUGGGAGACAACUCAAUAUUUACCUUUACUGUUUUUGUGUGCCCACAUGAUUAUGCUACUGUAAUAAUCAUGUUUUAUAGCUUUUGUUUCAAUAAAGUGCCAAGUAAGACCUUUAGGAUGGCUUACGAUGAUAAUUGUGUUGAUCCUGCUGAAAAUCAGAAACUUUUGCACCCAGUAAAUUAGUUUUGUUAAUUCACAGAAACGUGAUUUUGAUCUGAUUAUAUUUUCUCUGGAUUGGUACACGAAUUUCUUAGGACUUGGUAGGAUUUUUGGAGUUCCAGAAGUAUGCGUUUGAUACAGAUUACUACAGACUGUUCUAUUUUUGACAGAUUCUGUUUUCUAUGUGUUGUUUGCUUAUUUUGAUGCAUCUAUGGCUAGUAUUAAGUGGUAUGAACCAUAGAGAAGUUAAAAUUAGUAGAUAUUACACCAAUAUGAAUUAAAAAUGAGUUCAUUACAGUACCUAUGUGGUGGUUUUGUUUUCUUAUACUAACGGAGCUUACGAGUUUUCUGUUGAGUUUUGUGUUGUGAAGUUUUCAAGUUUUGGUAAAGAUUCGAUGGACUAUGGAAUAAGGAGUGGCAAAGAGCCUAAGCUUGGGGAUGCCCAAGGCACCCCAAGAUAUCCAAGAAUAGCCAAAAGCCUAAGCUUGGGGAUGCCCCGGAAGGCAUCCCCUCUUUCGUCUUCGUUCAUCGGUAACUUUACUUGGAGCUAUAUUUUUAUUCACCACAUGAUAUGUGUUUUGCUUGGAGCGUCAUUUUAUUUUGUUAGUAUUUGCUUGCUGUUAGUUAGAAUAAUGUUUUGCAUCUUUAGUUUCAAUAAAGAAGUCAAGGAUAGCCUUUGCCAUGCUUACUUUGCUAGUAUACAUGUUGCUGUUUGAAAACAGAAAGUUUACCACUGUUGCAGAAAUUCCCUAGAAAAGUCAGAGAGUGGUAUAAUGUUGAAUCUUUUUGCAUAUUUAGCUCUGAUAAAUUUAUUACAGUGGGAAUUUUAUUUCAUAAUUUUUGGAGUCAGGGAAGUAAUGAUACUCUUGCAUUCUUUACAGACUGUACUGUUUUGGCAGAUUGCUGUUAUGGUUGCAUUGUUUGCAUAUGUUUGUUUGUUUAAUGAUUCUAUUUGAGGAUAGGAGUAUUAAAUAUGCAUAGGCAUUUAGUAUGCAAUGUUGAAUAAUAAUUUUAGUGAUUUUUUACAGUAGAAAAUGAUAAGGUUUUGCAUUGGUUUAUACUAUCCUAUCUCACGAGUUCUUGUUGAGUUUGUUGUGAAUUAAGCUUUUGAUAAAAAGAGAAACCAUGAUAUGAGAGGAAUUAAGGAGACACAAAAGUUCAAGCUUGGGGAUGCCCAAGGCACCCCAAUAUAAUAUUUCAAGAAGUCUCAAGCAUCUAAGCUUGGGGAUGCCCCGGUAGGCAUCCCACCUUUCUUCUUCAAUAACUAUCGGUUAGUAUUGGUUGAGCCUAAAUUUUUGCUUCUUCACAUGAGUUGUGCUAUCCUUGCAAUGUAGUUUUCUUUAGCUUUGCUUGCUGUUUGAAUAAAGUAUCAAGAUCUGAAAUUAUUAAUUGAGAGAGAGUCUCCGCAUAGUUGCAUAAUUAUUUAGCUACUCAUUGACCUUCACUUAUUUCUUUCGGAGUAGUUUGUCAUUUGCUCUAGUGCAUCACUUAUCCCUUAUAGAGCAUGGUGGUAGUUUUAUUUUGAAGAAAUAGAUGAACUCUCAUACUUCACUUAAAUUAUUUUGAGAGUCAUUAAUAGCAUGGUAAUUUGCUCAAUAUUAAUAUACUUGGUAUUCAAGAUAUGUGAAACUUUCUUAUGAGUGUGUUGAAUACUAAGAAAAGUUUGAUACUUGAUAAUUGUUUUGAGAUAUGGAGGUAGUGAUAUUAAAGUCAUGCUAGUUGGGUGAUUAUGAAUUCAAAGAAUGCUUGUGUUGAAGUUAGCAAGUCCCGUAGCAUGCACGUAUGGUUAAAGUUGUGUAACAAAUUUGAAACAUGAAGUGUACCUGGCUUGUGCAUCCUUAUGAGUGGCGGUCGGGGACGAGCGAUGGUCUUUUCCUACCAAUCUAUCCCCCUAAGAGCAUGCGCGUAGUACUUGAUUUUUGAUGACUUCUAAAUUUUUGCAAUAAGUAUAUGAGUUCUUUUGACUAAUGUUGAGUCCAUGGAUUAUACGCACUCUCACCUUUCCGCCUUUGCUAGCCUCUUCGGUACCGUGCAUUGCCCUUUCUCACUUUGAGAGUUGGUGCAAACUUCACCGGUGCAUCCAAACCCCGUGAUACGAUACGCUCUAUCACACAUAAACCUCCUUAUAUCUUCCUCAAAACAGCCACCAUACCUACCUAUUAUGGCAUUUCCAUAGCCAUUUCGAGAUAUAUUGCCAUGCAACUUUCCACCAUUCCGUUCAUCAUCAUCAUGACAUACAUUACUUUUGUCAUAUUGCCAUUGCAUGAUCAUGUAGUUGACAUCGUAUUUGUGGCAAAGCCACCAUGCAUUAUUUUUCAUACAUGUCACUCUUGAUUCAUUGCGCCAUCCCGGUACACCGCCGGAGGCAUUCAUAUAGAGUCAUAUCUUAUUCUAAGUUUCGAGUUGUAAUGCUUAUGUUGUAAUCAAUAGAAGUGUGAUGAUCAUCAUUAUUAGAGCAUUUCCCAAAAAAAAAGAGAAAGGCAAAAAAAAACAAUAAUAAAAAAAGGGGGCAAUGCUACUAUCUCUUUUUCCACACUUGUGCUUCAAAGUAGCACCUUGUCCUUCAUGUAAUGAGUCUCAUAUAUUGUGCUUCAAAGUAGCACCUUGUUCUUCAUGUAGUGAGUCUCAUAAGUUGUCUUUUUAUACUAGUGGGAAUUUUUCAUUAUAGAACUUGGCUUGUAUAUUCCUACGAUGGGUCUCCUCAAAUGCCCUAGGUCUUCAUGAGCAAGCGAGUUGGAUGCACACCCACUAGUUUUAUUUUGUUGAGCAUUCAUAGCUCUAGUGCAUCCGUUGCAUGGCAAUCCCUACUCCUCAUGUUGACAUCAAUUGAUGGGAAUCUCCAUAGCCCGUUGAUUAUCCUCAUCAAUGUGAGACUUUCUCCUUUUUUGUCUUCUCCACGCAAUCCCCAUCAUCAUAUUCUAUUCCACCCAUAGUGCUAUAGGCAUGGCUCGCGCUCAUGUAUUGCGUGAAGGUUGAAAAAGUUUGAGAUUAUUUAAGUAUGAAACAAUUGCUUGGCUUGUCAUCGGGGGUAUAGAAGUUGGGAACAUCUUUGUGUGACGAAAAUGAAGCAUAGCCUAACUAUAUGAUUUUGUAGGGAUGAACUUUCUUUUGCCAUGUUAUUUUGAGAAGACAUGAUUACUUCGAUUAGUAUGCUUGAAGUAUUAUUAUUUUUAUGUCAAUAUGAACUUUUGUCUUGAAUCUUUCGGAUAUGAAUAUUCAUAUCACAAUUAAAAAGAUUUACAUUGAAAUUAUGCCAAAGUAUCACUCCACAUCAAAAAUUCUUUUUUAUCAUUUACCUACUCGAGGACAAGCAGGAAUUAAGCUUGGGGAUGCUUGAUACGUCUCCAACGUAUCUAUAAUUUUUGAUUGCUCCAUGCUACUUUAUCUACCGUUUUGGGCAAUAUUGGGCUUUAUUAUCCACUUUUAUAUUAUUUUUGGGACUAACCUAUUAACCGGAGGUCCAGCCCAGAUUUGCUGUUUUAUGCCUAUUUCAGUGUUUCGCGGAAAAGGAAUAUCAGACAGAGUCAAAAUGGAACGAAAUCAACUGGAGAAGUUAUUUUUGGAAGAAAAGCAACCCAGGGAACUUGGAGUGCACGUCAGGAGAGAUACGGGCUGCCCACGAGGGUGGGGGCGCCCCCCUCCCCCCCGGGCGCGCCCCCUACCUCGUGGGCCCCCCGUAGCUCCUCCGACGUACCCCCCGCACCCAUAUAUGCUCUUGUACCCUAAAACUUCCAGAACAGAAGAUAGAUCGGGAGUUCCACUGUCGCAAGCCUCUGUAGCCACCAAAAACCUCCCGGGAGCCCGUUCCGACACCCUGCCGGAGGGAGGAUCCUUCACCGGUGGCCAUCUUCAUCAUCCCGGCGCUAUCCAUGACGAGGAGGGAGUAGUUCACCCUCGGGGCUGAGGGCAUGUACUAGUAGCUAUGUGUUUGAUCUCUCUCUCUCGUGUUCCUCUAUGGCACGAUCUUGAUGUAUCCCGAGCUUUGCUAUUGUAGCUGGAUCUUAUGAUGUUUCUCCCCCUCUACUCUCUUGUGAUGAACUGAGUUUCCCCUUUGAAGUUAUCUUAUCGGAUUGAGUCUUUUAUGAGAACACUUGAUGUAUGUCUUGCCGUGAUUAUCUGUGGUGACAAUGGGAUAUCAUGUGCCACUUGAUGUAUGUUUUGGUGAUCAACUUGCGGGUUUCGUGACAUUGGGAACCUAUGCAUAGGGGGUGGCACACGUUCUUCACUCUCUGGUAGAAACUUUGGGGCACUCUUUGAAGUACUUUUAUGUUAGUUGGAUGAAUCUGAGAUUGUGUGAUGCAUAUCAUAUAAUCAUGCCCAUGGAUACUUGAGGUGACAAUGGAGUAUCUAGGUGACAUUAGGGUUUUGGUUGAUUUGUGUCUUAAGGUGUUAUUCUAGUACGAACUCUUUUAUAGAUUGAUCCGAAAGAAUAGCUUUGAGGUGGUUUCGUACCCUACCAUAAUCUCUACGUUUGUUCUCCGCUAUUAGUGGCUUUGGAGUGACUCUUUGUUGCAUGUUGAGGGCUUGUUAUAUUAUCUAUCUAUGUUAUUAUUGUUGAGAGAACUUGCACUAGUGAAAGUGUGAACCCUAGGCCUUGUUUCCUAUCAUUGCAAUACCAUUUACGCUCACGUUUAUCACUUGUUACCUUGCUGUUUUUAUUAUUUCAGAUUACAAAUACCUUUAUCUACCAUCCAUAUUGCACUUGUAUCACCAUCUCUUCGCCGAACUAGUGCACCUAUACAAUUUACCAUUGUAUUGGGUGUGUUGGGGACACAAGAGACUCUUUGUUAUUUGGUUGCAGGGUUGUUUGAGAGAGACCAUCUUCAUCCUACGCCUCCUACGGAUUGAUAAACCUUAGGUCAUCCACUUGAGGGAAAUUUGCUACUGUCCUACAAACUUGUGCACUUGCAGGCCCAACAACGUCUACAAGAAGAAGGUUGUGUAGUAGACAUCAAUGCUCCAUCUAGUUCUUCCCUCAAUUCUUCUUGCUGAUUCCAUGGAGUGAUGCGGUACUGCUAGAUCAGUACGCGCGGGUACCUCGAAAGUGUCGUCCUCUUCGACAAUAGAUCAACGGAUCAUCCCGGAGAAAAUUCUCGUGGCUGGGAUAUAAAUAACUUAGACGUGGAAAUCGGCAAGCUUCACCAACUCUUCUUCCUCUUCCACCGUGUUGAUUGUUGGUGAGAUCAUCGUUAUCAGUAACCUCCAGAGUGUCGAAUGCAGCUUCGGUGCCGUGACUGCACCUACCUUUGGGUGUGUAACAUGUGGGCCAACCAUCUGUUGGGCCCACAUGUCAUGCACACAAAGGCAGGUGCCUUAAGACACUGAAACUCAGUCCCAUAGUGUUCAUAGGCAUGUUCGUACAUGUAUUCUUUUUUGUGGCGUAGCACGUUUCCCUUCACCAGCCUCAACACUCUCCAAACUUCCAUCGUUUUCUACACCGAGAAAACAGUUGCUUUGUAUCCUUCGAUCCCUAAGAGCAUGAGGGACAUUGAGGCAGCACCUUCAAAUGCCUAUUGGCAAGCAAAACACGGUAGGGAAGGGUGCCAAGCAAAGUAGCGAACUGUUUUUUACUUGGCCGGGCAAGAUAAAUUAUGAACCUUACACCAAAUUGAGUUAAUGGCAAUGUUCUAUCCCCUUGGUACGUCCGAGCUUCCUCUCAUGUUGGUUAUCCCAUUGGUAUACCUCAUAGAAGCAUCUGAAGUUAAAUAUAUAUUUUAUUGUCCCAUCAAAGGGCAAAUAUUACCCAAAUGAUAACCGCCUGGCUAAUGCUCCAUCUAGUUCUCCCUCAAUUCUUCUUGCUGAUUCCAUGAAGUGUUGCGGUACUGCUAGAUCAGUACGUGCGGGUACCUCAGAAGUGUCGUCCUCUUCGACAAUAGAUCAACAGAUCAUCCCGAAGAAAAUUCUCUUUGCUGGGAUAUAAUUAACUUAGACGUGGAAAUCGGCAAGCUUCAUCAACUCUUCUUCCUCUUCCACUGUGUUGAUUGCUGGUGAGAUCAUCGUUACCAAUAACCUCCAUAGUGUUGGAUGCAGCUUCGGUGCCGUGACUGCACCUACCUUUGGGUGUGUGACAUGUGGGUCAGCUAUCUGUUGGGCCCACAUGUCAUGCACACAAAGGCAGGUGCCUUAAGGCACUGAAACUCAAUCUCAUAGUGUUCAUAGGCAUGUUCAUACAUGUAUUCUUUUUGUGGCGUAGCAUGUUUCCUUUCACCAGCCUCAACACUCUCCAAACUUCCAUCACUUUCUACACCGAGAAAACAGUUGCUUUGUAUCAUCCGAUCCUUAAGAGCAUGAGGGACAUUGAGGCAGCACCUUCAAAUGCCUAUUGGCAAGCAAAACACGGUAUGGAAGGGUGCCAAGCAAAGUACGCGAACUGUUUUUUUACUUGGCCGAGCAAGAUAAAUUCUGAACCUUACACCAAAUUGAGUUAAUGGCAAUGUUCUAUCCCCUUUGUACGUCUGAGCGUCCUCUCAUGUUGGUUAUCCCAUUGGUAUACCUCAUAGAAGCAUCUGGAGUUAAAUAUAUUUUUAUUGUCCCAUCAAAGGACAAAUCUUACCCAAAUGAUAACCGCCUGGCUAAUGCUCCAUCUAGUUCUUCCCUCAAUAUGACUUGAAGCUCUUUUCUAGUGAUAUCCACGAAUUCCAGGUCAAGCUUUCUUAGGCUUGGGAAACCAUUGAAUUCGAAUGGUGGUCUGAAGGAUGCAAAGCUAAGUUGAAUAUAUUUUAGACGUGAUAUGCUUUCAAUAUCCAAAAGGUGAAAUGGAAAUAUGUAACGAAAGAUAUCUCAAACUGCCUUGUUAACAGGGUUUAAGUAGACAACAAUGCUCUUUGUCUGUGAUGACACAACAAAAUCAACCCAGUUAUUGAGAUGAGUAGCCAGCAUGAUGUCAAAUUCGAAUUUGACAUGGAAUUCUUUGACCACCGUGCCGUGGAAAUUUCUCAAGACUGCAUUGACAUCAUUGAUAAAUUUCUGCAUGUAUUCACAAUAUUCUUUUCUUAAAAAACUAUCGCGGCAACACCCAGCAGCACCAGUGAAACAUAAUUUGUGGCAAGAAACAUCGCGGAUAGAUCUCCAGUGACUUGAUAAAACACUGGCCCUUGAAAUCUCUUUAGGAGGCAACUUUGACAAAAUUGUGCACAUCACAUCCUACGUCAACGGAAUAUAGAUGCUUGAGAUUACAAGUUAUAGCUGUACUCGACUGUAUAUCAAAAAAAGGGAAAUUUGACAUACAUUUGGAAGGUCUCCCAAUUUAACGUCUGAGCUCGCCUUCUUCUAGAUUGAAUUCCCAUGGGUAUGGUCUGAUGAUGUGCUUUGCGCAUUUGAUGGCUCCUCAUCUGUAAAACUGAAUAUGAGAAGUCAGAGUUCCUCCAAGAUUAUAUGAUACUCCCUCUGUAAAUUAAAAUAAAAGCGUUUAGAUCACUAGAUAUUCACAAGUGUAUUAACUGCUAGUAGUAGGCAUUACUGUAGAUAAUCCGAGGAACUACUCCCUCCGUUUCAUAAUAUAAGAAUGUUUUUGGCACUCAGAGGGAGUAGUUGUUUGUCGUCGGUGCCAGCGCUUCGGUGCUUGGGAGGUCCGAUUGAUGUCGGCUUUUAACGGGACGUGAGACGAUUUGAUUCGGCCAGGGCUGGACUCGGAUUCCUGGGCCCGAUUUUAGAGAGGAUAGCGAAGCGCGUUCCGCUUCCCGGCCCAACCCUCUUUCCUUCCGCUUCUCGGCCCACCCUCCAUACAAAUGGAAAACCCUAAUAAGAAACCCUAAGAAACCCUUCUCCCCCGCCACCGGCCACCACCCCGACCACGAGCAAGACAACCGGACAACGGAAGCGGCGAUGGGAUGCACGGCGUCCACGCGACGUGCGGGGCGGGGCUCGCUCGUGUUCGAGGUCUCAGGGUACGGCGGAGUUAGCCUCGACGUACAAUCAUCGGAAGUAUUCACCGUCGGCGCUUACGACUGGCAGAUUCGUUUCUAUGAGGAAGGAGUGUUUGGGCAUUCCGGAGGCUAUGUGGCGGUCUAUCUCUUUUUAGUCAGCAAGAAGGCCAAGGUGAGGGCAACCUUCGAGCUCAGUUUGGUGGACAUCACUGGAUCAACGCCGCCUCGUACGAUGAGGACGGUCGCCGCAGAAUUCGACUCUGGCGACCGGACGUGCUUCGGCCAUCCCGAGUUCAUGAGGAAGAGCGACCUCGAGGCGUCGCCUUACCUUCGCGGCGGCGAUCGCCUCACAAUUGAGUGUACCAUCACUAUCUGCACGGAAGCGCCCAAAUCAUUUGUUGAGGUGCCGUUGCCGCCAUCCGACAUCACGGAUCACCUCAGGAAGCUGUGGCAAGGGAAAGAGGGCACCGAUGUCACCUUCGAGGUUCAAGGGGAGGCUUUUCCUGCCCACAAGACAGUGCUCGCGAUGCGGUCACCGGUGUUUAAGGCAGAGUUGUACGGUGCCUUGAGGGAAAAUGAUAUGGGUCGCGUUAUCAUCGGCGACAUGCAACCUGCAGUCUUCGAGGCCCUGCUCCAUUUUAUAUACACCGAUUCGUUGCCCACCAUGCAUGAUCUUUACCAAGAUCAAGAUGAGUACAAAGAGAUUAUUGGACAUUUGCUUGUAGCCGCGGAUCGCUAUGCCAUGGAAAGACUGAAGAUCAUAUGUGAAAGCAUCCUUUGCAAGAACAUAGAUUCGAAGACCGUGGUGACUACACUGCCUUUGGCUGAUCAGCAUCACUGCAACAAGUUGACUGAUGCUUGCAUUGAAUUUAUUGCCUCUUUGGGUAAAGUGGAUGAUAUAAUAGCAAGCCAGGGAUAUGAUGAGCUCAAAAGAACCUGUCCUUUGGCUUUACUGGAACUGUGGGAGAAGGCAACUAGGCUGUACAUGAUAUAGUCUUCAUUUCACAUUGGCAUGUGUGUUAAGUCACAUACAUAUCUUGCUACUUGUUUGAUGAAGGAUUAGUUUAUUUUAAUAUAUCUGAAGCUUUGGUGGAAAACAGUAUUACUCUGCUAAUGUUUUUCGUUUGUCAAGAUGUUGCAUACUUAUCCUUUUAGCGCAAAUGGUAUUGUUGCUAAACAAUAUAUAUGAGUGUUUAAUUGUCUGUUCGAAAAUUUUGUCAUAGGUUUUAAUUACCACACUACAUGUGCAGGCUAGUGUAUGCUACUCACUUCAAUGAUGAUAUCUGCCGUAACGAAUAAGCAGCAAAAUGCGACAAGAGUGGGACAGGAGUGUGUUAAUGUGAUUAUAUGGGAACAUUUCGUCAUAAUAUGAAAUUCGAAACGGGAGAAUGAAUGCCACAUUUUCGAACUCGUGUUGUAAAAUAAUAGGGGUGCAUUUGAAACAAUAAUUCUUGCACUGGAAGGUGUUCAAUUUCCUUUGCCAGGUACUUUUCUGUUCUUGCAUCCUCCAAUUGGUUUCAGUUUUUAUUUUACUUAUUACCUGAAAAGUUGAGACUGAAUCCAUAAAAAGUUGACCCAUCGGUAAGCUUUUAAUUCUUUUACAAAUAUAAAAUGAAAUAAGUAAUCAAUCUAACCUAUAAAAUGAUUGAGUACCACCACAUCAUCCAUCUAUACUGUUAUAUAAACAUCAUCGGUACAUCACAGUAUUGGGCAACUGGCCUAUAUCAUGCUAUUACUUUGAAUGAAACACAUUUGUACUAUAUGACAGUAACUAAUUGGAAGAGUGCAGUAUGUUAAUGCACCUGCAUAUCCUUGAGGAAUAAAAUAUCGAAUAAAAGUUGACAUUUGAAAGUACCCCUUGUGUUGUAAAUUAAUCAUUUUGAUACAGAAGGAACGCAAUAAUGAAGAAGCAUGUAAAAAACUGGGGAAAGUAUUGUUCGUAACAGGUUAUAUGCAGCCCUACCGUCUACAGGAACGCAUCAAAGCAAACUUUGGAACUUGGUGCAUGUCAGGCAAGUCGGGAUUUAGUUGUUAUUUACAGAGGUGAUUUCUGUUCCCUUUAAUUUGUAGGAAUUUGGGGCAGGGAAGCAACUGAAUAUCUUUUUCAAAAGUAUUCUCAAUCUGAUUUGUAUGUGACGAGAUUAUUAAUCAGUUUGAUUGAUUGAGAUAUUUUUUGUAUUUGCCGCAGCAUGUAUGUACCAAGCAGGAUUGCAAGUCAUUCUCACCUUAGGAUAGUAUUCAUACCUAUUAGCAAGUCUACAUGGAUCAUUUAAUGUUGCAAUUGUGUGCUGACCCAAAACCCUAGAAAUAGUUCAACCAUUUUCCUCAAAGGCGUAUUAUUACAUCUAAGGCAAAAUCAAUUGAUUAGUUUUACUAUUUCUAACGUUUCUAAGUAGUGUUGAACCAUCUCCACAGGAGCUUGACAAUUUAGUGCUACCAGCCAUGUUUCACAGUACUAACACAAAGGUCAAUGCAGAAGUCUUUUAUAUAAUUAUUCACCUUGAGGAACACAUAGAAUUUGUUGCGAGAUGGAACAAUAAGUGUAGCUUAUAGUGACAUCAAAGAUUGCAGCUGUAUUUCACAAUAUUUUGAUGCCCAGAAAAUCUACUUGCUUUUGAUAGUACUGUAAGACCGCAUGAUACAGUGGUUCUCUUAGGUGUAUAUGAAAUUAGUUCAGUUAAAAUUAGAGGUCUAUGAUUCACCACGUUUUCCAGCGAUUAGAUAUAAAUGUUUUAUUGAAGUCUAUUGAAAGUUACUAAUGACAUCUGGAAGUCUGCACCUCCCUCUUUUUUCAGACCUAAGUUGUUUUCUCUGAAAGUCCAGCAUAAUACUCUGAAAAGAAGGUCAGGUUUUCUCCCUUUAGUCAAGUUACUCUGACUUGGUUUAAUUUUAAAAUAGUAGAUAUAUUCCUUCCUAAUUUUGUCAAGUUACCCUCCUAAUCUACCAUGCAGUUCCAUGUUUCAACUUGUUGCGUAAAUAUUUUUCUCUUUGUUUGACCAGAUGUUCACUGAAUAAUAGUCGGUCAUUGGUUAUUUGUUUGUUUGUGUGCAGUUUGCUUUUUUAAACCCAACAUUUAAACAUGAAACUGAAAUAUUAAGUUUAUCUGAAUAACAUUUGGUCACUGAACUAUUCCUCGUUCACUAUAAUUUUGUCAAAGUUUUAUGUAAUAGGUUUAAAAAAUAUGUUCAAAAAAUUAGCAUACAACUUGAGAGAAACCUAUCUUUUAGUUUUGGUUAUUACAAGGAGACAGAAAAGAGAUGACAUAGGCAUAUAGCUGGGAGGAGAGAGAAAUUAUGUGAUUUGGCACAGCAGACUAGCACAGAACCGAGAGAAGGGGGUUGUCAAGUGAACGGUUCUCAGAGUUCACAUGGUUAAAUGAACCAAAUCAAAGUCCAAGAUUGUUAUCUGAACCCUAAAACGAUUUCAAGGGGUGAUAUGGACUUCUCGACUACUAGAGAAUGUGCCUUCAACUUGCAGGGUCAAUGGACAUGCACCUUUGAUUUAACAUUUGAGAUUUUAAAUGCUCUCUGAAUUAGGGCAAGCAAACAAGCAUUUUCUUAAAAUUGUUGUUUAUAUGCUUGUUCUAUUAAUUUUCUUUUAGUGAUUCACAUUUGAGACUUUUUUUUCUUAAAUUGAAGAAUUUAAGCUCCAAUAUAAAGUAAUAUGUAUAAAUCACAGGGAAAUGAAUUGAAAAUGUAGAACUACGUACUCCCUCCGUAAAUAAAUAUAAGAUCAUUUAGAUCACUUCGUAAAAGGUACUCUCCCUGUAAAGAAAUAUAAGACCGUUUAGAUCAGUGUAGGAUAUGACACUUGAAAUGGAUAUGGAUGACGCAUCAAAGCACCAUGGGUUUCUAGCAACAACCACAAAGACCACACACGAUGUAUAACAUCCCAAUUUUAUUAGGACGUUUAUAAAAGCAUUAAUUUGCAUCUUAUUAUUCAAAUGCGUAUUUGAAUAUUCAAGAACAUUUAAAUUUAAACUAUUUUCAACUCAAAGAAAUAAAAGAGAACAUAAUAUUACUUAUAUUCCUUAUGAAAGGAGUGAGAAAAUGUUAAGAUGUCAUUUGGAGUGGAUAAAUACAAUCUUGGUAAUUAAGUAAACUCUACAAAUAUUUAAGGGAAUUAUUAUUAGGUCCAAACUAGCUGUAUAAAUAAAAUGAAUUUACAACAUUGCACUUCGAGUUGAGAAUAAUUUUUCUAGGCUCUAUAUGAGUAUUAUUUUUUGCAAUUUUCUGGUAUUUUCUGAAAAACAUAUAUUUUACACUAUUAUUUGAGCCAUAAUUUCUAGACUAAUUUUGUUACGAAAUUCUAUACUAACUAGACUAGAACAGUGUUUCAGCCUAGUAACACACCAAACAGACCGCGACCAUUUUAGGCCCCCAACCUAGUUCCUUUCUCAAAACGGUAUGGGCAUCGAGGGCCGUUAGUUUUAUGAUCAUCUCUUUCUCUCUUUUCUUGCCUCGCUCCUCUGCAUCUCUUGGCAUACUGUCUUUGCCCAUGGAGCACCACAUCGUCUGAACAGUGCACACUUGACCACACCAGAGCACCGCCGAGCACUCCACACCCGUCCAGAUCACCGACCACACUGCCGUGAUGACUGCGACAAGUUUAACCCUGACGUGUACUUCCUCGACGCUGACGACCAUCGGAGACCAUGCCACAUUUGACCCGAGUCGUCAUGCCACUGUCUUUUGUUCGUCUGUUUAGAAAUAGAUUCUGUAGAUUAGAAUUUAUUUCUUCCGAAUUGUUGUUUGAACUUAGCCCUAGAUCUGCACUAAAAUCCAACGGUUGUUAUUUUGUUUGUGCCUUAAUCGGUAUCUUUUGAUCUAGUCUGUCCAUUUUCAUUUAAAUAGGACGAAUAUAUUUUAUUUAGCCACGAAUCAACAUUAACUAGUCUGAUGCUGCCACGUGUCACAUUAUUUUGCAGAAAAUCCCACGAAACUUCUAACAUUCUGUAAAUUGUUAGUCUUGGAGUGCUUAUGACCUAUUAGUUUAACAUUUUUAAUUAUUCAAAUGUGAUAAAUUCAAAUUCAAAUUCAAAUUCAAAUAUUAUUUUAGCCAUAUCUUGCAAUCUGGAGAUCCAGUUUAGUUGUUUCUUUUUGCAUGAUGGAAGCCUGAUCAAAUCCUAUCUACUACUACCUCCGUCUCGGUGUAUAAGUCAUUCGCGUAGUUCUAGGUCAUCGAUUUGAGGAAUUAAAUAUGUGCUAUAUGUCAUGAAAAGUAUAUCACUAGAUUUCUACACGGAUGUAGUUUCUAAAUAUAUAUUUUUUGUCACAUAUAAUACAUAUUUAGAUAGUUAAAUUGUCGACCUAGAACUACGCGAAUGACUUAUACACCGGGACGGAGGGAGUAAGCCGUUAAUAGUACAUAUCAAAAUCAUUCCUAUGUCAUGUAUAUGAUGUAUCUUUUAUGCCUUUCGCUCUUAUAGUUGCACUUUUGCACUUAAGACCCUAUAUUAGCUAAGGCUAUAUAUACUAGUGCCUCCGAUCCAAAUUAAUUGGCGCAACCUCUUCUAUACAUGUAUAGAAGGGGAUAAUAUGUUUUGUUGAGUUCUGUUUGCUAUCUUUGCAAGUAAUUUUAUUUGCAUGCUUAAUUAUAAUAGUUUUCAAAUUUAUUUCAUUCUACGAUAGAUUGUUUGGACUGCCAAGCCGCUUACUUACAUGAAUUAGAGUAUCAUCACCAGCACCAAGGCAAGUUGCAUUCUUUUGUGCAUGUCCAUUUACCAAUAUCUUUACUAAGCAUUUAGUAUAUUUUGAGUAGUAUGCAUGAGCAUGUUUAUAUAUUCUAAAUAUGCAAGUAUGAGCCCACUGUAGUUCAAUAAGUACGUCUGAGUUCUAAUUACCUGUCUGUCGUCGUUGUAGUUUGCUUAAUUUGCUAAAGUAGGAGGAUACUUUGGUGAAGUGUAAUUCAUGGGAAGUUAUGAAUGAUAAUGUAGUAAGGAAGACCAACUAAAUUCGUGGUACGUGGGUGGAAUAGUAAUUAUAAAGUGGUGAGGUACAAUGUUAGCAUCAUGGAGAAUGUGAUCUCUUAAAAGAUACACCUGUGGCAUUGCACACUAGUGGACCGCCGCUAAGGCUUAAAAAGACCAACCAGUUUUCAUGAAUAGUUGCUUCCAUGUGCAACCACAAGCAAUUUCAGGCUUUGUGUUAGUUAAGUAGGUUGUGCUGAACCUUGUCUUGUAGGCUACCCUCUGAAAGUCUUCGUCUUGAUCUUCUACCAGUUCUCCCAUGUUGAACACGAACCUCACUGGAUCUAAAGGUCGAAGCCCCUCCGACCUUCCAGCGCCUGCCGUCGAGUCGAUGACACGGUCACGAAGAUAGCGCCAACCAACCAAGCACGGUGCACGCAGGCAAGAUCACUUGCGACGGUGGCAACAUCUGUUGAAUGGUCACCACACAUCCCAGCCGGCGGCACGGGUGACGACUUCCUCUAGAGCACACCGGCUCUCCAGGUCGAAGGACAUGUCGGUGUUGCUCCCUUUCCUUUCCACUGCCACAUGGGCGCUUGCUGCAACCCGACGGUGUGAAGGAUUAGGAAGGCGCGCAGCCGCCCGUGCCCUAGAACGGACUGUUGCUGCUGCAUCGUAAGAGCAUAUCGAACAGGCACGCUAAAUUAGCCGUGCGUUGGAAAAAACGAUUAUUUAGCGCGCGCGCGACCGAAACCGGCGCUCCAGUAGACGCGCUAAAAUCCCGCACGCGGCAAAGUUGGUUCAGUGCGCUGGGGAAAACGGCAUCGCGCGCUGCUUAGUUGCGCUCGCUCCUGCGCGUUGGACAUGGCAAUCGGGCGCGCGAAUCUAACCAACCGCCAGAUCUGAAACCUCCAGGCGCUGGGCCUCCGCCCGCACCUUCCCCAUUCGCUUCGGCGACCCGCCAGCGCUUCCCCCGCCUAUCCCUGCGCGCCACCGCUGCUUCCUCUGCCUUCUCUCCUCGCCGCCGCCCCUCGAGCGCACCUUUCCUCCGAUGAACAGUGCCCGGUGGGCGUUUCCAGCUCGGCGCCCACAAGGUGUUUGAUAAAACGCUUGCAAGGUAUUUAUUGCUUCAACUUUAUAUUCGUAGAUGAAUUUGAUGCAUGUUGUUUGUAGUUUUAAAUUAGUUUAAAUUCAAUUUUGUAGAUGAGUUCGUCCUACGAUUCUUCCGACAAGAAUUUGAUCUUCAAGAGGAGGACAUCGCAAUGAUCCUAGCUAUGCACGUCAAUAAAAAGCCGAAGCAUGGUGGUUCGAUUAUCGAUCGUCAGAAAUCGUGGAGGGAUAGGAUCGAUGCACACAACAGAUUGAUGAGAAACUAUUUUGUGGAGAAUCCCACAUACCUCGAGUCCUACUUUUGGCGUAGUUUUAGGAUGAGCAUCGAGUUGUUCAAACACAUUGCGGAGAAACUAGCGAGCCAUGAUCUAUUUUUUCAGCAAAGGAGGAAUGUCGCCGGAGAAAUCGGGCCUAGCACCUUUCAAAAGGUGACCGCCGCUUUGCAUAUGUUGGCAUAAGGUAUUCCGGCAGAUCUAGUUGAUGUCCACUUGGCCAUGGUGAGAGUCAAGUCAUCAUGUGUGUCAAGCGCUUCGCAGUCGGAAUUGUGCAAGUGUUUGGUCUGAAAUAUUUGAGAGCUCCCAAUGCUGAAGACACCGCAAGGCUUUUGGAGAUGAACAAAGCUCGCGGGUUCCAGGUAUGCUUGGCUCAAUAGAUUGCAUGCAUUGAAGUUGGAAGGACUGUCCUAAGGCAUGUUAUGGACAAUUCCACGCCUAGAAAAAGGGUUUCACUAUAAUCCUUGAACGGUGGCCGAUCAGGAGACUUGGAUUGGCAUGUUUUUUUUUUUGAAAUGCCUGGAUCUUGCAAUGACGUCAAUGUUCUUAAUUUGUCACCACCCAUGAAUAUGAUUGCAAAUGGUGAAACUCCACCGGUGGAGUUUGUACCAAAUGAUCAUACACACAACUGUGGCUACUAUUUUCGGAUGGCAUCUAUCCAAGGUGGCAACAUUUGUGAAGCCGUUUGACGGCACUGCAAGGUAAGAAAAGUCUUGAUUUUUACAAUGCUCAGACAACGGCUAGGAAAGAUGUGGGGAGAGCUUUUGGGAUUUUGCAAGCCCAAUUUGCUAUUAUGAGAGAACCUGCUAGAUAUUGGGAUCAAAAGAUUCUUUGGUACUUCAUGAACGCGUAUGUGUUCAUGCAUAACAUGAUCAUUGAAAAUGAGCGUGGGCAAGAUUUAGACUAUUCUCAGUAUGAGUUGUUGGGACGUCCUGUGCGAGCGCGGAGGAGAAUUGUGAUGGUGGCCCGCUUUAUUGCCUCCUAUCAUGCCAUUCGACGUGCCGAACACAUGAUGAUCUUCAAAAGAAUCCAAUCGAGGAGUGGUGGGCAUGGAAUGGGCGACAAAAUUAGUUUGAUGUUGUAUGUUUAUUGUAUUAGAAAAUAAAUUAUUUGUUUGAGUUGUAAUAAUAAUUAAAAUAUUUAUUGUUAAUUUAUUUUAUGUGUGUUUGAUCUUCUUGGUUCUAUAUUCAAUGGGAAAUGUUGUUAGUGCUAGGCGCGCAUUGUAAUUUAGCGCCCCUGUUGGAGUGCCAUAUGCGGCCCAUAAUAUAUAGCGCUUCUGCUGAAGCAAACAUCCUCCUGCGCACGCUAAAACGCUAUUUCAGCGUUGCAAAAAAAUUUAACGCGUAACGCAACCGCGCGUGCGUUGGAGAUGGUCUAACCACAUGUACUGUAUCAAAGCUAUUGCCUAUACAUCGCUUCACCUCGUCGAAUAGCAAGCCCCGCCGCCGCCAUCGGCCACACAGGCAAACCCGACGGCGAUGGCAACAACGAUGGGAGGACACUUGGGCAGAGGCUCGGCGAAAAAUUGAUAUGCAGGCCGCCCAUAUCGCCCACGUGGACGACGCGGGGCAACUCAGUUGGUAUAUGUCGUCCUUUUACAUACUCUGUUCUUGGCUUCUUUCUCGUUUAUUUUUUUAAAGGAACAUGCUUGUUCAUUACUCCCUCCAUUCCACAAUGUAGUGCUUCCUCUAUCUACGUGCUUCAACUUUGACCGUAAAUUUAACUAUCAAGACCGAUUGCGGCGGGAGCAAAAAUUAUAUCAGUGAAUUCGUAUUCGAAAGAAGUUUUCAAUUAUAUAAUUUUUUUCUUCCGCCGCAGUUGGUCUUGUUGGUUAAAUUUACGGUCAAAGUUGGACCUCGAGAAGCGCGGACGCACUAUAUUUUAGAAUGGAGGGAGUAUACUAUAUACCAGUGCUGAACAGAUAUCCAGCUACGCGGUCAUUUACAAAAUCUGGAAACUGGCCAAGCCAAGUCUCACAUGUGCCAGCUUCCAAUUUAGCACCAUGUGCUGCUAAACAGUGCGGUAUAGUAUUACUCCCUCUGUUCCUAAAUAAUUGUCUUUCUAGAGAUUUCAAUAAGUGACUACAUACGAAGCAAAAUGAAUGAAUCUACACUCUAAAACAUGUCUACAUACAUCCGUAUGUUGUAGUCUAUUUGAGAUGGCUAGAAAGACAAUUAUUUGAACGGAGGGAGUACAAACUCUGGGACAUGAUACAACAGAUACUUCACUAAAUCCCACACGCAAUUGAAACGUGAUGUCUUUGAAAACAGCUCCCAGAGUCGACAUAUCAUAUUCUUCAGUGCAAAUUGUGUUCUUGAGCUGUACAGAGUCCAUCUCCAUAAUUACUCGAUUACUCCCUCCGUUCCUAAAUAUUUGUCUUUUUAGAGAUUUCAAAUGGACUACCACAUACGGAUGUAUAUAAACAUAUUUUAGAGUGUAGAUUCACUCAUUUUGCUCCGUAUGUAGUCACUUGUUGAAAUCUUUAGAAAGAUAAAUAUUUAGGAACAGAAGGAGUACAUCCCAUUUGAAUGGCUGUGUUUAUGGCAUAAAGCAUCGCCAAAGCCUCCGAAUGAAGCACAUCUGAGACUCGCUCCAGACUACCUGCUCCAGCAGCCAUCAACAUACCACAAUCAUCCCUGAUUACUAAGCCCCAUCCUCCAUUUUUUGUUUCUUUCAGAAAUUCACCAUCCAUAUUGAUUUUCAAGAUUUCUGGUGGAGGCAUGGACCAUCUUUCCUUUUGUUGUUGCUUUGGCAUUCCUCCUACUUUUCCAACCUUAAGAAUCUGCAUAAAAAGAUAAUUAAUGGAGUGACAGAUUUCAUCAAGAUAAUUAAUGGAGUGACAGAUUUCAUCAGAGGAUCUAAUAUUUUCUCCUGCAUUUACUUUAUUCCUUUCAAGCCACCAACACCAAAGGAGUAGGCAAGAUUUUUAAGUUUUUCUUCUUCGUUAAGGUUCAUAAUUAUUUCCAUACAUCCCAAAGCAUCUGCACAAGACAAAAUCUGCACUCUAACAUGCUCCAGCUAAGCUUUCCUCCACACAUCCUUAACCUUCUUGCACUUAAUGAAACAAUGUCGCCAUCCUCAUCUAACCGAAAACAAACAGGGCAACGGGUAUCUACUUGCAUACCUCUGUCCUGAAGCUUCAUGCGCAAAGGUAGGCUAUCUGUAGACAUGCGCCACAGGAAGUGAAGAAUCUUAUUUGGAAGAGGAGGCGACCACAACUUUGACCAAUUAAAAUCACCUGUUUCUUCAUCUGCACUGGAGGAGGAAGUUAAUCCUGAAAUGGAUUCUCGAGCCGCACUAUCUACAACAACUCUAUAUGCAGAUUUAACUGAAAAUAUACCUUUUUUUAUCAUAAUGUCAUGCUAUGAAAUCAUCGUUAUGUUCAUGAAUUGGGAUUUGUAAAAUGAUUUCCGCAUCUUCUGGAAGAAAGGUUUGUCUAACUAACUCUCCAUCCCAAUUGUUUGUGCUAGGAUCAAGCAGAUCUUUUACUUUGGUUAUAAUGCUUUUACCCCUAUGAGUGACGACUCUUCUGGUGGUACCUCUCAGAAUCCAAGGGUCAGACCAAAUGUCAAUGUUAUUGCCACUACCAACUCUCCAUAUGAUCCCCUUCUUGAGCAGAUUUACCCCUUUUAGUAUACUACGCCAUGUGUAGGAGAUGCAAACUUUGGGCCUAGCCUGAAGAAUUGAGCCAUUUGGGUAAUACCGUGCGCACAAAUAUGUUGGGUUAUGGAUAAGCCUCCAUGCCUGCCCUGCAAGUAUCGCUAGGUUGAAAGCGUGAAGGUCCCUAAAGCCCAUUCCUCCAGUUUUUUGUCUUCGUCAAUUUCUCCCAACUGACCCAGUGAAUUUUAUUCUCCUUAUCCAUUUGGCUCCACCAAUAUCUAUUGAUCAUUGAGCUCAGUUUAUCACAGAGUGACUUGAUUAAGUCAAAGCAAGCCAUUGAGUACACUGGGAUUGCUUGUGCUAUGAUACGUCUCCGUCGUAUCUAUAAUUUUUGAUUGUUUCAUGCCAAUAUUAUUCAACUUUCAUAUACUUUUGGCAACUUUUUAUACUAUUUUUUUAGGACUAACAUAUUGAUCCAGUGCUCAGUGCCAGUUCCUGCUUGUUGCAUGUUUUAUGUUUCGCACAAAACCCAUAUCAAACGGAGUCCAAACGGGAUAAAAACGGACGGAGAAUUAUUUUGGAAUAUUUGUGAUUUUUGGGAAGUAAAAUCAACGUGAUGUUGGAAAUAUGCCCUAGAGGCAAUAAUAAAUUAGUUAUUAUUAUAUUUCCUUGUUCAUGAUAAUCUUUUAUUAUCCAUGCUAUAAUUGUAUUGAUAGGAAACUCAGAUACAUGUGUGGAUACAUAGACAACACCAUGUCCCUAGUAAGCCUCUAGUUGACUAGCUCGUUAAUCAAUAGAUGGUUACGGUUUCCUGACCAUGGACAUUGGAUGUCGUUGAUAACGGGAUCACAUCAUUAGGAGAAUGAUGUGAUGGACAAGACCCAAUCCUAAGCCUAGCACAAGAUCAUGUAGUUCGUAUGCUAAAGCUUUUCUAAAUGUCAAGUAUCAUUUCCUUAGACCAUGAGAUUGUGCAACUCCCGGAUACCGUAGGAGUGCUUUGGGUGUGCCAAACGUCACAACGUAACUGGGUGGCUAUAAAGGUACACUACGGGUAUCCCUGAAAGUGUCUGUUGGGUUGGCACGAAUCGAGAUUGGGAUUUGUCACUCCGUGUAAACGGAGAGGUAUCUCUGGGCCCACUCGGUAGGACAUCAUCAUAAUGUGCACAAUGUGACCAAGGGGUUGAUCACGGGAUGAUGUGUUACGGAACGAGUAAAAGAGACUUGCCGGUAACGAGAUUGAACAAGGUAUCGGUAUACCGACGAUCGAAUCUCGGGCAAGUACCAUACCGCUAGACAAAGGGAAUUGUAUACGGGAUUGAUUGAGUCCUUGACAUCGUGGUUCAUCCGAUGAGAUCAUCGUGGAACAUGUGGGAGCCAACAUGGGUAUCCAGAUCCCGCUGUUGGUUAUUGACCGGAGAACAUCUCGGUCAUGACUACAUGUCUCCCGAACCCGUAGGGUCUACACACUUAAGGUUCGAUGAUGCUAGGGUUAUAAAGGAAGUUUGUAUGUGAUUACCGAAUAUUGUUCGGAGUUCCGGAUGAGAUCCCGGACGUCACGAGGAGUUCUGGAAUGGCCCGGAGGUAAAGAUUUAUAUAUAGGAAGUCCUGUUUCGGCCAUUGGGACAAGUUUCGGGGUCGUCGGUAUUGUACCGGGACCACCGGAAGGGUCCCAAGGGCCCACCGGGUGGGGCCACAUGGGCUGUAGGGGGUGCGCCUUGGCCUACAUGGGCCAAGGGCACCAGCCCCUAGAGGCCCAUGCGCCAAGAGUGGAGGAAAAGGGGAGAGUCCUAAAGGGGGAAGGCACCUCCGAGGUGCCUUGGGGAGGAUGGACUCCUCCCCCCCUCUUGGCCGCACCCCUUCCUUGGAGGAAGGGGCAAGGCUGCGCCUCCCCCCUCUCCCUUGCCCCUAUAUAUAGUGGAGGGGAGGGAGGGCAUCCAUACCUGAGCCCCUGGCGCCUCCCUCCCUCCCGUGACACCUCCUCCUCUCCCGUAGGUGCUUGGCGAAGCCCUGCAAGAUUGCCACGCUCCUCCAUCACCACCACGCCGUUGUGCUGCUGCUGGAUGGAGUCUUCCUCAACCUCUCCCUCUCUCCUUGCUGGAUCAAGGCGUGGGAGACAUCGUCGAGCUGUACGUGUGUUGAACGCGGAGGUGCCGUCCGUUCGGCACUAAGAUCAUCGGUGAUUUGAAUCACGACGAGUACGACUCCAUCAACCCUGUUCACUUGAACGCUUCCGCUUAGCGAUCUACAAGGGUAUGUAGAUGCAUUCUCCUUCCCCUCGUUGCUGGUCUCUCCAUAGAUAGAUCUUGGUGACACGUAGGAAAAUUUUGAAUUUCUGCUACGUUCCCCAACAGUGGCAUCAUGAGCUAGGUCUAUUGCGUAGAUUCUAUGCACGAGUAGAACACAAAGUAGUUGUGGGCGUUGAUUUUGUUCAAUAUGCUUGCCGUUACUAGUCUUAUCUUGAUUCGGCGGCAUCGUGGGAUGAAGCGGCCCGGACCAACCUUACACGUACUCUUAUGUGAGACCGGUUCCACCGACAAACAUGCACUAGUUGCAUAAGGUGGCUGGCGGGUGUCUGUCUCUCCCACUUUAGUCGGAUCGGAUUCGAUGAAAAGGGUCCUCAUGAAGGGUAAAUAGCAAUUGGCAUAUCACGUUGUGGUUCAUGCGUAGGUAAGAAACGUUCUUGCUAGAAACCCAUAGCAGCCACGUAAAACAUGCAAACAACAAUUAGAGGACGUCUAACUUGUUUUUGCAGGGUAUGCUAUGUGAUGUGAUAUGGCCAAAGGAUGUGAUGAAUGAUAUAUGUGAUGUAUGAGAUUGAUCAUGUUCUUGUAAUAGGAAUCACGACUUGCAUGUCGAUGAGUAUGACAACCGGCAGGAGCCAUAGGAGUUGUCUUAAUUUAUUUGUGACCUGCGUGUCAACUUAAACGUCAUGUAAUUACUUUACUUUAUUGCUAACCGUUAGCCAUAGUAGUAGAAGUAAUAGUUGGCGAGGCAACUUCAUGAAGACACGAUGAUGGAGAUCAUGAUGAUGGAGAUCAUGGUGUCAUGCCGGUGACGAUGAUGAUCAUGGAGCCCCGAAGAUGGAGAUCAAAAGGAGCAAAGUGAUGAUGGCCAUAUCAUGUCACUAUUUGAUUGCAUGUGAUGUUUAUCAUGUUUAUACAUCUUAUUUGCUUAGAAUGACGGUAGUAAAUAAGAUGAUCCCUUACAACAAUUUCAAGAAGUGUUCUCCCCUAACUGUGCACCGUUGCGACAGUUCGUGUUUCGAAGCACCACGUGAUGAUCGGGUGUUAGAUUAUAACGUUCACAUACAACGGGUGUAAGACAGAUUUACACACGCGAAAUACUUAGGGUUAACUUGACGAGCCUAGCAUGUACAGACAUGGCCUCGGAACACGGAGACCGAAAGGUCGAGCAUGAGUCGUAUAGAAGAUACGAUCAACAUGAAGAUGUUCACCGAUGAUGACUAGUCCGUCUCACGUGAUGAUCGGACACGGCCUAGUUUGACUCGGAUCAUGUAAUCACUUAGAUGACUAGAGGGAUGUCUAUCUGAGUGGGAGUUCAUAAGAUGAACUUAAUUAUCCUGAACAUAGUCAAAAGGAUUUUGCAAAUUAUGUCGUAGCUCACGCUAUAGUUCUACUGUUUAGAUAUGUUCCUAGAGAAAAAUUAGUUGAAAGUUGAUAGUAGCAAUUAUGCGGACUAGGUCCGUAAACUGAGGAUUGUCCUCAUUGCUUCAUAGAAGGCUUAUGUCCUUAAUGCACCGCUCAGUGUGCUGAACCUCGAACGUUGUCUGUGGUUGUUGCGAACAUCUGACAUACACGUUUUGAUAACUACGUGAUAGUUCAGUUAAACGGUUUAGAGUUGAGGCACCAAAGACGUUUUUGAAACGUCGCGAAACAUAUGAGAUGUUUUGAGGGCUGAAAUUGGGAUUUCAGGCUCGUGCCCAUGUCAAGAGGUAUAAGACCUCCAAUGACUUUCUUAACCUGCAAACUAAGGAGAAAAGCUCAAUUGUUGUGCUUGUGCUCAGAUUGUCUGAGUACAACAAUCGCUUGAAUCGAGUGGGAGUUGAUCUUCCAGAUAAGACAGUGAUGGUUCUCCGAAGUCAUUACCACCAAGCUGCUAGAGCUUCGUGAUGAACUAUAAUAUAUCAGGGACAUAUAUGAUGAUCCUUGAGAUACUCGCGAUGUUUGACACCGCGAAAGUAGAAAUCAAGAAGGAGCAUCAAUUGUUGAUGGUUGGUGAAACCACUAGUUUCAAGAAGGGCAAGGGAACAAAGGGAUACUUCAUGAAACGGCAAUUCAGCUGCUGCUCUGGUGAAGAAACCCAAGGUUGAACCCAAACCCGAGACUAAGUGCUUCUGUAAUAAGGGGAACAACCACUGGAGCAGAAUUACCCUAGAUACUUGGUAGAUGAGAAGGCUGGCAAGGUCGAUAGAAGUAUAUUGGAUAUACAUUAUGUUGAUGUGUACUUUACUAGUACUCCUAGUAGCACCAGGGUAUUAAGAUACCGGUUCGGUUGCUAAGUGUUAGUAACUCGAAACAAAAGGCUACGGAAUAAACGGAGACUAGCUAAAGGUGAGCUGACGAUAUGUGUUGGAAGUUUUUCCAAGCUUGAUAUGAUCAAGCAUCGCACGCUCCCUCUACCAAAGAGAUUGGUGUUAAACCUAAAUAAUUGUUAUUUGGUGUUUGCGUUGAGCAUAGACAUGAUUGGAUUACGUCUAUCGCAAUACGGUUAUUCAUUUAAGGAGAAUAAUGGUUACUCUGUUUAUUUGAAUAAUACCUUCAAUGGUCUUACACCUAAAAUGAAUGGUUUAUUAAAUCUCGAUCGUAGUGAUACACAUGUUCAUGCCAAAAGAUAGUAAUGAUAGUACCACCUACUUGUGGCACUGCCACGUAAGUCAUAUCGGUAUAAAACGCAUGAAGAAGCUCCAUGUUGAUGGAUCUUUGGACUCACUCGUUUUUGAAAAGUUUGAGACAUGCGAACCAUGUCUAUUGGUGUAUAUGCAUGAAGAAACUCCAUGCAAAUGGACCGUUUGGACUCACUUGAUUUUGAAUCACUUGAGAUAUGCAAAUCAUACCACAUGGGCAAGAUGACUGGAAAAGCCUCGUUUUCAGUAAGAUGGAACAAGAUAGCAACUUGUUGGAAGUAACACAUUUUGAUGUGUGCAGUCCAAUGAGUGCUGAGGCAUGCAGUGAAUAUCGUUAUGUUCUUACUUCACAGAUGAUUCGAGUAGAUGUUGAGUAUAUUUACUUGAUGAAUCACGAGUCUGAAUUAUUGAAAGGUUCAAGUAAUUUCAGUGUGAAGUUGAAAGAUCGUCGUGACAAGAGGAUAAAAGAUCUAUGAUAUGAUCAUAGAGAUGAAUAUCUGAAUCACGAGUUUGGCACAGAAUUAAGACAUUGUGGAAAUUGUUUCACAACUGAUACAGCCUGGAACACCAUAGUGUGAUGGUGUGUCCGAACGUCAUAGUUGCACCCUAUUGGAUAUGGUGCAUACCAUGAUGUCUCUUAUCGAGUUAUCACUAUCGUUCAUGGGUUAGGCAUUAGAGACAACCACAUUCACUUUAAAUAGGGCACCACAUAAUUUCGUUGAGACGACACCGUAUGAAUUAUGGUUUAGAGAAACCUAAGCUGUCAUUUCUUAGAAGUUUGGGGCUGCGAUGCUUAUGUGGAAAAGUUUCAGGCUGAUAAGCUCGAACCCAAAGCGGAUAAAAUGCAUCUUCAUAGGACACCCAAAAACAGUUGGGUAUACCUCCUAAUUCAGAUCCGGAAGCAAUAGGGAUUGUUUCUUGAAUCGGGUCCUUUCUCGAGGAAAAGUUUCUCUCAAAAGAAUUGAGUGGGAGGAUGGUGGAGACUUGAUGAGGUUAUUGAACCGUCACUUCAACAAGUGUGUAGCAGGGCACAGGAAGUUGUUCCUGUGGCACGUACACCAACUGAAGUGGAAGCUUAUGAUAAUGAUCAUGAAACUUCGGAUCAAGUCACUACCAAACCUCGUGGGAUGACAAGGAUGCGUACUACUUCAGAGUGGUACGUAAUCCUGUCUUGGAAGUCAUGUUGCUAGACAACAAUGAACCUACGAGCUAUGGAGAAGCGAUGGUGGGCCCAAAUUCCGACAAAUGGUUAGAAGCCAUAAAAUUUGAGAUAGGAUCCAUGUAUGAAAACAAAGUGUAGACUUUGGAAGAACUACUUGAUGGUCGUAAGGCUAUUAGGUACAUAUGGAUUUUGAAAGGAAGACAGACAAUGAUGGUAAGUGUCACCAUUGAGAAAGCUCGACUUGUCAUUAAGAUGUUUUUCGACAAGUUCAAGGAGUUGACUACGAUGAGACUUUCUCACUCGUAGCGAUGCUAAGAGUCUGUUGGAAUUAUAUUAGCAAUUACUGCAUUAUUUAUGAAAUCUUGCAGAUAGGAUGUCAAAACAUUGUUUCCUCGACGAUUUUUGAGGAAAGGUUGUAUGUGAUACAACCGGAAGGUUUUGUCUAUCCUGAAAUAUGCUAAUAAGUAUGCAAAGCUGCAGCAAUCCUUCUGAGGACUGGAGUGAGCAUCUCGGAGUUGGAAUGUAUGCUUUGAUGAUGAUCAAAGAUUUUGGGUGUAUACAAAGUUUAUGAGAAACUUGUAUUUCCAAAGAAGUAAGUGGGAGCACUAUAGAAUUUCUGAUAAGUAUAUGUUGUUGACAUAUUGUUGAUCAGAAAUGAUGUAGAAUUUCUGGAAAGCAUAUAGGGUUAUUUGAAAGGUGUUUUUCAAUGGAAAGCCUGGAUUAAGCUACUUGAACAUUGAGCAUCAAGAUCUAUAAGGAUAGAUCAAAACGCUUAAUGGUACUUUCAAAUGAGCACAUACCUUGACAUGAUCUUGAAGGUGUUCAAGAUGGAUCAGUCAAAGAAGGAGUUCUUGCCUGAGUUGUAAGGUAUGAAGUUAAGACUUAAAGCUCGACCACGGCAGAAUAGAGAGAAAGGACAAAGGUCGUCCCCUAUGCUUAAGACGUAGGCUCUACAAUAUGCUAUGCUGUGUACUGCACCUGAAGUGUGCCUUGCCAUGAGUCAGUCAAGGGGUACAAGAGUGAUCCAAGAAUGGAUCACGGGACAGCGGUCAAAGUUAUCCUUAGUAACUAGUGGACUAAGGAAUUUUCUCGAUUAUGGAGGUGGUAAAGGGGUUCGUCGUAAAGGGUUACGUCGAUGCAAGCUUAACACCUAUCCGGAUAGCUCUGAGUAGAGAUACCGGAUACGUAUAAUGGAGCAACAAUUUAGAAUAGCUCCAAGUAGAACAGUUAUUUGGAAUAGCUCCAAAUAGAGCGUGGUAGCUGCAUCUAGGAGAUGACAUAGAGAUUUGUAAAGCACACACGGAUCUGAAAGGUUCAGACCCGUUGACUAUAACCUCUCUCACAAGCAUAACAUGAUCAAACCAAGAACUCAUUGAGUGUUAAUCACAUAGUGAUGUGAGCUAGACUACUGACUCUAGUAAACUCUUGGGUGUUAGUCACAUGGCGAUGUGACCUGUGAGUGUUAAUCACAUGGGGAUGUGAACUAGAUUAUUGACUCUAGUGCAAGUGGGAGACUGUUGGAAAUAUGCCCUAGAGGCAAUAAUAAAUUAGUUAUUAUUAUAUUUCCUUGUUCAUGAUAAUCUUUUAUUAUCCAUGCUAUAAUUGUAUUGAUAGGAAAGUCAGAUACAUGUGUGGAUACAUAGACAACACCAUGUCCCUAGUAAGCCUCUAGUUGACUAGCUCGUUAAUCAAUAGAUGGUUACGGUUUCCUGACCAUGGACAUUGGAUGUCGUUGAUAACGGGAUCACAUCAUUAGGAGAAUGAUGUGAUGGACAAGACCCAAUCCUAAGCCUAGCACAAGAUCAUGUAGUUCGUAUGCUAAAGCUUUUCUAAAUGUCAAGUAUCAUUUCCUUAGACCAUGAGAUUGUGCAACUCCCGGAUACCGUAGGAGUGCUUUGGGUGUGCCAAACGUCACAACGUAACUGGGUGGCUAUAAAGGUACACUACGGGUAUCUCUGAAAGUGUCUGUUGGGUUGGCACGAAUCGAGAUUGGGAUUUGUCACUCCGUGUAAACGGAGAGGUAUCUCUGGGCCCACUCGGUAGGACAUCAUCAUAAUGUGCACAAUGUGACCAAGGGGUUGAUCACGGGAUGAUGUGUUACAGAACGAGUAAAAGAGACUUGCCGGUAACGAGAUUGAACAAGGUAUCGGUAUACCGACGAUCAAAUCUCGGGCAAGUACCAUACCGCUAGACAAAGGGAAUUGUAUACGGGAUUGAUUGAGUCCUUGACAUCGUGGUUCAUCCGAUGAGAUCAUCGUGGAACAUGUGGGAGCCAACAUGGGUAUCCAGAUCCCGCUGUUGGUUAUUGACCGGAGAACAUCUCGGUCAUGACUACAUGUCUCCCAAACCCGUAGGGUCUACACACUUAAGGUUCGAUGACGCUAGGGUUAUAAAGGAAGUUUGUAUGUGGUUACCGAAUGUUGUUCGGAGUCCCGGAUGAGAUCCCGGACGUCACGAGGAGUUCCGGAAUGGUCCGGAGGUAAAGAUUUAUAUAUAGGAAGUCCUGUUUCGGCCAUUGGGACAAGUUUUGGGGUCAUCGGUAUUGUACCGGGACCACCGGAAGGGUCCCGGGGGCCCACCGGGUGGGGCCACCUGCCCCGGGGGGCCACAUGGGCUGUAGGGGGUGCGCCUUGGCCUACAUGGGCCAGGGGCACCAGCCCCUAGAGGCCCAUGCGCCAAGAGUGGAGGAAAAGGGGAGAGUCCUAAAGGGAGAAGGCACCUCCGAGGUGCCUUGGGGAGGAUGGACUCCUCCCCCCUCUUGGCCGCACCCCUUCCUUGGAGGAAGGGGCAAGGCUGCGCCUCCCCCCUCUCCCUUGCCCCUAUAUAUAGUGGAGGGGAGGGAGGGCAUCCAUACUCAAGCCCCUGGCGCCUCCCUCCCUCCCUUGACACCUCCUCCUCUCCCGUAGGUGCUUGGCGAAGCCCUGCAAGAUUGCCACGCUCCUCCAUCACCACCACGCCGUUGUGCUGCUGCUGGAUGGAGUCUUACUCAACCUCUCCCUCUCUCCUUGCUGGAUCAAGGCGUGGGAGACAUCGUCGAGCUGUACGUGUGUUGAACGCGGAGGUGCCGUCCGUUCGGCACUAAGAUCAUCGGUGAUUUGAAUCACGACGAGUACGACUCCAUCAACCCCGUUCACUUGAACGCUUCCGCUUAGCGAUCUACAAGGGUAUGUAGAUGCACUCUCCUUCCCCUCGUUGCUGGUCUCUCCAUAGAUAGAUCUUGGUGACACGUAGGAAAAUUUUGAAUUUCUGCUACGUUCCCCAACACGUGAGAUGAUGCCCGAGGGGGCCACGAGACAGGGGGCGCGCCCUGGACUCUCCUGGGCACCCCGUAAGGCGGUUGACGCUCUUCUUUUGCCUCAAGAAAGCUAAUUUUAUGAGAAAAAUCUGGGUGAAAGAUUCACCCCAAUCGGAGUUACGGAUCUCCGGAUAUUAAAGAAACGGUGAGAGUGCAGAAUCAGGGAACGCAGAAACAGAGAGAGACAGAGAGAUAGAUCCAAUCUCGGAGGGGCUCUCGCCCCUCCCACGCCAUGGGAGCCAAGGACCAGAGGGGAAAUCCUUCUCCCAUCUAGGGAGGAGGUCAAGGAAUAAGAACAAGAAGGGGGGCCCUCUCCCCCUUGCUUCCGGUGGCGCCGGAGCGCUGCCGGGGGCCAUCAUCAUCACCGCAAUCUUCACCAACACCUCCGCCAUAUUCACCAACAUCUCCAUCAUCUUCCCCCAUCUAUAUUCAGCGGUCCACUCUCCCGCAACCUAUUGUACCCUCUACUUGAACAUGGUGCUUUAUGCUUCAUAUUAUUAUCCAAUGAUGUGUUACCAUCCUAUGAUGUCUGAGUAGAUUUUCGUUGUCCUAUCUGUGAUUGAUGAAUUGCUAUGAUUGGUUUGAAUUGCAUGCUUUAUUAUUGGUGCUGUCCUAUUGUGCCCUCUGUGUCGCGCAAGCGUGAGGGAUUCCCGCUGUAGGGUUUGCAAUAUGUUCAUGAUUUGCUUAUGGUGGGUGGCAUGAGUGACAGAAGCACAGACCCGAGUAAGUAGGUUGUUUGCGUAUGGGAUAAAGGGGACUUGAUACAUUAAUGCUAUGGUUGGGUUUUACCUUAAUGAUCUUUAGUAGUUGCGGAUGCUUGCUAGAGUUCCAAUCAUAAGUGCAUAUGAUCCAAGAAGAGAAAGUAUGUUAGCUUAUGCCUCUCCCUCAAAUAGAAUUGCAAUAGUGAUUAUCGGUCUAGUAAAGUAGUCAAUUGCUUAGGGACAAUUUCACAACUCCUACCACCACUUUUCCACACUCGCUAUAUUUACUUUAUUGCAUCUUUAUCUAAACAACCCCUACUUUUCAUUUACGUGUUCUUUAUUAUCUUGCAAACCUACCCAACAACACCUACAAAGUACUUCUAGUUUCGUACUUGUUUUACGUAAAGUGAACACAAAGAGUGUGUAGAGUUGUAUCAGUGGCAGAUAGGGCUUGAGGAAUAUUUGUUCUACCUUUAGCUCCCCGUUGGGUUCGACACUCUUACUUAUCGAAAGAGGCUACAAUUAUCCCGUAUACUUGCGGGUUAUCAUGCUACAACUUUUAUGAGAAUUUCUUUCCCUCCUUUCGAAAGGAGUCUUUCCUUCCAACCUUGAAUCUUCUUCCAAACUCUCUCCUUUAUAUAUUCAAAGGUUCUUUUUUUGGCUUUACCCACAUAGUACGGAACACCUAAAUAUUUAGAGGGUAGACCUUUCCGGGUGAUCUGCAAGAUGCUUCUCAUCUCCUCCUUCAACUCCUGCCUGGUGUUUGCACUGAACAUUGUUGAUGAUUUUUCCUUGUUAAUCAUUUGACCUGAAAAUGGUUCAUAAUUAUUCAGAAUUCUAUUGAUUUCCUGUGCACUUUCAGCUUUGGCCUCCAUGAUCAGCAAUGAAUCACCUGCAAAAAGCAGAUGACUAACACUGGGAGCUUUCCUACAAAUCUUAAUUCCGGUCAAUAACCCUCUCAUCUCAGCUUCAUGUAACAUGGAGGCGAACCCCUCUGCACAAAUGAGAAAUAAAUAUGGAGAGAGUGGGUCUCCUUGCCUCAAGGCUCUUUGGGGUAUGACCAUACCUGCUGUAUCUUGGUUCACCUUAAUCUGAUACUUGAUAGUAGAGAUGCAUUGCAUUAUCAAUUUAACCCAACUCAUGUCAAAGCCCAUUCUACACAUCACAUCCCUUAAGAACGUCCAUUCCACACGGUUAUAGGAUUUGCUCAUGUCGAGUUUUAUAGCUGCAUAGCAUGUUGAGCCUCUUUUUCUUCUUUGCAAGAAAUGUGUUAAUUCAUACGCGAAAAGAAUAUUAUCAGAUAUUAAUCUCUUGGGCACAAAGGCACUCUAAUUAGGGGAGAUGAUAUCUGGGAGAAUUACUUUGAGCCUGUUGGUAACUACCUUGGAGACUAUCUUAUACACCACAUUACAUAGGCUAAUUGGUCUCAGGUCCUUCAUGCUUGUCGGGUUGGUAUUCUUUGGGAUUAGCACUAUUAGUGUAUCGUUCCACCUUUCAGGCAUCCCCCUCUCAAUAUCUGAAGAACCUCUUUAGUUAUCUGAUUCUCAGCAAUUUUCCAGAAUCUUUUGAAAAAUAUGGCCGGCAUACCAUCGGGUCCUGGGGCUUUCAAAUCGUCGAUGCUAUCCAAGGCUCUUUUUACCUCCUCUUUUGCAUAGUCAUCCCUUAAUACUUCAUUCAUCUCCUUCGUUACCCUUGGCUGAAUCGUACUCAAUAUUUCCUCAUUAUUGUUUCCUGAAGUGGAGGUGAAGAUAUUAAAGAAAUAGUUUGUAAUGUGUUCUUUUAACGGUUCUUCCCCCUCCACCCAGCUACUGUCCUCCCUUUUCAGUCUCUUGGUGGUAUUCCUUCUCUUUCUCUCAGAGGCGAAAGCAUGAAGCAAAUGAUGUGUUCUUAUCCCCAUCCUUUAGCCAUUUAACACAUGCUUGUUGUUUCCAGUGCAGUUCUUUUUGUUGUUCCAAAUGAUCUAACUUCUCCCUUAACACAUGCUCUCUUCUAACCCUUUAUUGGUUGAUUUCCCCUCUGUGUAUUCCAUCUAGUUCGUUCUUCAAAAUUUUGAUCCUUUUCCCAAGUUCACCUAAUACAUUAUUAUCCCAGUCCUUCAACUCCCCUGCUAUUUUGUGCAACAGUUCUUUGAUAUUCUGGUCACCUUGCAAUCCAGCAUUGGCCCAAGCAUUAUUAACCACCAACUCAUAGUCCUCUUCCUACAACCAUCUGGCUUCAAACCUGAAAUUGUGAGCCUUUCCCCUGAACAAACUAGCCCUCUCAGAUUCUUCCAUGUGGAUAAUAAUAGGCCUAUGGUCUGAACGGUAUGGGUCUCCAUUCAGAACUUUGUAGUGAGGAAAUCUUGCACACCAACUCCUCGAACCCACUACUCUAUCAAGUCUUUCUUUAACAAAUCGGUCUGCAUCCCAGCUAUGAUUCCGCCACGUGUAUUUAUCCCCCACAUAGCCCAAAUCUUUUAAUCUGCAUUCUGUGAGGGCCUCUCUAAAACUUUCCAUUUGACUAUGCGCUCUACCUGCCACCCUUCUUUUCAUGACUAUACAUGAUCUCGUUAAAAUCGUCGGUGCAUAACCAUGGAAAUUUAAGCUGCUGAUUGAGGAUGCACAAUAACUUCCAAGUUAUUUUCUUUUUAUCACUUGCGGUCUCUCCACAAAUGCCCGUGAAACGCCACCUAAAACCAUCUUUCUCCACUACGUUUACAUCAAUAUGAUACUUGGAGUAGUUGUGCAGCUCCAAGUUUACUUCUUUCUUCCAAAGUAAUGCCAACCCUCCGCUCUUUCUUUCACAGUCCCUUGCCAUCAUGUUCCCCAUUCCUAACUUCCACUUAAGCUUCUCCAUCCUCCCUUUAUCCAGUUUAGUUUCAGAUAAGAAGAUGAUGCCAGGAUCCACCUGCUUCCGGAGGUCCAGAAGCCCUCUCACUGUCGGGCCAUUCCCCAAUCCCCGGGAGUUCCAUGCUAAAAUCUUCAUUUUGGCUCGCCAGGAUCUCCCUGCAGCCCAGCGUUUAUAGUUCCUAAGAUAUUGUUCCCUUUGUUUACUUCGGCUUCGUCAACCUCCAUCUUCGCUUUCUUCGCUAAUUCUGUCGCCUCAUCUACAUCCAUUAUAUCAACCUUUCUCUUAUUCGAAUCUGCCCUAUUUAAUUGUUUUUGUUGGAUCCCUUCCUUCUUCAUUCGCCUGAAAGUACCUUGCUUUGUACUUUUCCUAGCCUUAUAAACAUUAUUUUAUGUUUUGUUAAGGAGCACUUCCUUCUCAUAAACCAAGGUAUCCUUCAAUGACCCUUCUGCGUCAUGCCUCAUUAUUGUAUUAUUGAUGUUCCUUCCUUCAAAUUCACUCAGAUCGUCCUCUAUUUUUUGUCCCUCUCUAAAAGGGCUUUCACCGAUUAUCCACUCAAAAAUAAUCCUUUCCCCUCCAUUGUUCCUUUGUAUUCAUUCUGUUUUUUCUUGUGGGGACUUAUCACUUCUUUACCAUCACCCUUUUCUGGCCCUUCAUCAUAGUCUAUGCUUUGUACAUCCCUUCGUCAAGAUGGCACAUCGCUACCUUGUUUAUUGUCCUUGCUACCUGCACCAUUACUUGGCUAGAAUUUUUCUUUAUCACUUGAGCUUCUGCUCCUUUCUUCAUUAGAGCCUCCCUUGUACAUAAUUUCCCGUAGCCAUGACCCAAACUGCUUGGAUCUAGUUCUUCUAGAUCUGGUUGGACAUGACUUCUCUAUAUGUCCAAUUAUGCCACAACUAUAGCAGAAAUCGGGGAGGUACUCAUAUGUUAUAGAGAUAAUCUUUCUCUCCUUUUCUUCCUUUCCGGCCCCUUCUCCUCGUCUCCGUCAACACCCCAGGUGCCAUUUCAUUAGCAUGUUCCUCUUCCUCUUCGUCCUCAAUAAAGGAUGUUAUAAAUCUCAUUAUUGGAACUGUUAUCUAUUUUCACUUUAAUUCUCAUGAAUACUCCCAUUGAGUCCCCAUUGACAUUUGAAUUGUGACGCCCGGAUAAUCAAGCUACAGUAACCUUUGCUAAUGAUGCCACAUCACCUCGAUUACUGUUGCUAAUCUCGCGUUAGUUCGAAAUCGAUUCAAAUUCAAAUUCAAAAUCAAGCAAACAAUAAAGCUUUUCAAAUAUUAAAACUAAAAUGUUCGGAGUGAACCAAAUAUUGCUUAGGAAAUAAUGGUGGAUAAACCACACCUUUAUAAAAUGUUUAAAUACUAUAAGCUGAAUAAAACAGUAGCAAAAACUAUUAUUUAAAUACUUUUAAAUAUUAAAUAAUUACGAAACUAUUUUAGCUUGGGUAGCAAAUUAAUGUGGUAGUGGUAUAUUUGACAUACUAAAUUUAGGUGCUGUUUUGACAUUUUAUAAAUUGAACUAAAUUAAAGUUUGAAAGAAACAGUGAAAGAAAAUAAAAAAGGAAAGUAUAAAAAAGACAUAAACAAAACUGAAAUAAAAACAGAACUCCCCUGGCCAACUGGGCCAUGACCCAGCCGGUCGGCCCACCGGCCCAACCGCGCCCCUGGCCUAUAUGGUCUGCCGACUCCCGAACCCUAGCCUCUCCCCUCCCCGAUCCCGUCUCACUCCCCCUCACCCCUGGAUCUGCACGAUGCCCAUCCCCGUCGCCCCGCACGACCCCCCCACUCCUCCCGCACGAUCCCCCACCCUUCCCGCACGACCCCCACUCCUUCCGACUGAGACCCCCACUUCCUCUCNNNNNNNNNNNNNNNNNNNNNNNNNNNNNNNNNNNNNNNNNNNNNNNNNNNNNNNNNNNNNNNNNNNNNNNNNNNNNNNNNNNNNNNNNNNNNNNNNNNNNNNNNNNNNNNNNNNNNNNNNNNNNNNNNNNNNNNNNNNNNNNNNNNNNNNNNNNNNNNNNNNNNNNNNNNNNNNNNNNNNNNNNNNNNNNNNNNNNNNNNNNNNNNNNNNNNNNNNNNNNNNNNNNNNNNNNNNNNNNNNNNNNNNNNNNNNNNNNNNNNNNNNNNNNNNNNNNNNNNNNNNNNNNNCCCUUGCCGUGCUAGAGCAUCACCUCGCCGGCGCGCCCGCGCCCGAGGAACCGCCGCCUCCCCGCUGGACAGGCCGUCCUCGACCUCCUCCUCGCCGACCCCCCUCUCCCUCGCCCCCUCUGCCCGAUCUAGAUCGGGAGGGGGCCGCCCCGACUUCGCUGGCACCCUCGACAACGCCGCCGCUCGCCGUCCCUGGAGGCACCUCGACGCCGCGCCUCGUCGCCUGAUGCCGCCCGAAGCUACUCCACCUCGCCAACAUCGGCGGACCACCGUCGUCCUCGUCCUCCUCCUCGAGCUCGCUGCCACUCCCCUACACCGUCCGUGCGCACUUCCCUCUCUUCCCGUCCCCGUUGCCCAUUUCGGCCGCCGACGCUGCCGCACAUGUGUUGGUCGGCCCCUGCCCGUUGCCCGCUUCCAGCCGCUGUCGCCCACGGCACCCCCCUGUGCACCCUCCCGGCGCCUCGGCCUCCUGCCGCUGGCCAUCCCGCAGCCACCAUGCGGCGCGCCUCCUCGUGACGCACCUAUAGCUCCAGCCGCAUCGCAAACCGUCAUCGGAACCAAUUGCGCGGUCGUCGCCAGCAAGCUCGGCCUCAUCGCCAUUAACAUGCUGACGUGGCGCGUGACUAACCCCUAUUUCAGCACUAACCCGAACACCUAAACAGGCACUGACAUGUGAACCCUCCCUAAUUAACCUAAACAUAAAUAAUCUAUUUAACUAAUCUAACAACCCAGUGUCAAUGACACGCGGGCCCCCACCACUAAAUGAAAUGACUAGAUUAAACUGUUAAGUUAAUAGCCAGUUACACGUAAGGCCCACUAGCUAAUUAGUUUAAGUUAAAUAAAACCUGUUGUUAAACUCUCUCACUGACCAGUGGGGCCGUUGUUCUGCUGACUCAACCCGGCCCACCAGUCAGCCUCUGCUGACUGGGCAGUUGACCAAGUCAACUAGGCCCCAUGCCAAGCUUUGUUGCAUAUUGCUGGGUACACUUCUUGUGUACCCAUAGCAUUUAAAUAUUAAUUUAAUUUCGCAUUAAAUUAAAUCCAGAAAUUAGAAAAUCAUUUAGAACUUUGAAAAUUAAUAUAAAAUAAUCCAUAACUUGGAUGAAAAUACUUUGUACAUGAAAGUUGCUCAGAACGACGAGAGGAAUCCGAAUACGCAGCUCGUUCGUCAGCCACAUGUCCCUAGCAUAGCAAACGUGCAACAUUUCACCUCCGGUUCAUUUGUCCGAAAAUGCGAAACGCCGGUGAUACUUUCCCGGAUGUUUCCCCCCUUCGUCGGUAUCACCUACUACGGCGUUAGGGCACACCUAGCACCGCGUAUUGCCAUGUUACGCUUUGUGAUGCUUUGAUUGCUCUGUUAUUUAUUGUGUUCCCCCUCCGUUACUUCUUUUCGGUAGACCCCGAGACUGCCGGCGACCCCCAGUUCGACUACGGAGUUGACGACCCCUCCUUCUUGCCAGAGCAACCAGGCAAGCCCCCCCCCUUGAUCACCAGAUAUCGCCUAUUUUUCUCUAUACUACUUGCAUUAGAGUAGUGUAGCAUGUUACUGUUCGGUUACUCCUGUUCUGUUGCAUAGCCUGUCAUUGCUGCUACAGUUGUUGAUACCUUACCCGCAAUCCUAAAUGCUUAGUAUAGGAUGCUAGUUUAUCAUCAGUGGCCCUACAUUCUUGUUAGUCUGCCUUGCUAUACUAUCGGGCCGUGAUCACUCGGGAGGUGAUCACGGGUAUAUACUAUACAUAUAUACAUACUAUAUAGAUGGUGACUAAAGUCGGGCCGGCUCGUUGAGCACUCGCAAGUCAUUCGGAUAUGAGGGCUGGAAGGACAGGUGGCUCCAUCCCGGUAGAGGUGGGCCUGGGUUCUCGACGGCCCCCGACUGUUACUUUGUGGUGGAGCGACAGGGCAGGUUGAGACCACCUAGGAGAGAGGUGGGCCUGGCCCUGGUCGGCGUUCGCGGUUACAUCAAUUAACACGCUUAACAAGAUCUUGGUAUUUGAUCUGAGUCUGGCCACUUUCCUAUACGCACUAACCAACUACGUGGGAACAGUUAUGGGCACUCGACAUCGUGGUAUCAACCAAAGCCUUCUUGACGUCAGGGACUGAGCGGCGCGCGCCGGAUUGGACUGGAACGCGUGCUCUUGUAUUAGGGAGGCUAGGUCUGCUUCCGGCCGCCCUCGCAAUGUGCAGGUGUACAAUGGGUGAUGGGCCCAGACCCCUGCGCGCAUAGGAUUUAGACCGGCAUGCUGACCUCUCUGUUGUGCCUAGGUGGGGCUGCGACGUGUUGAUCUUCCGAGGCCAAGCAUUGUUGGGGAACGUAGUAAUUUCAAAAAAUUUCCUACGCACACGCAAGAUCAUGGUGAUGGUAUAGCAACGAGAGGGGAGAGUGUUGUCCACGUACCCUCGUAGACCAUAAGCGGAAGCGUUAGCACAACGCGGUUGAUGUAGUCGUACGUCUUCACGAUCCGACCGAUCCAAGCACCGAACGUACGGGGCCUCCGAGUUCAGCACACGUUCAGCUCGAUGACGAUCUCCAUGCUCCGGUCCAGCAAAGCUCCAGAGAUGAGUUCCGUCAGCAUGACGGCGUGGUGACGAUGAUGAUGCUCUACCGGCGCAGGGCUUCGCCUAAACUCCGCGAUGAUAUGACCGAGGUGGAAUAUGGUGGAGGGGGGCACCACACACAGCUAAGGAACGAUCCAUAGAUCAACUUCUGUGUCUAUGGGGUGCCCCCCCGCCCCCGUAUAUAAAGGAGCCAGGGGGGAGGAGGCGGCCGACCAAGGAGGGCGCGCCAAGGGGGGAGUCCUACUCCCACCGGGAGUAGGACUCCCUUCUUUCCAAGUAGGAGUAGGAGAAGGGGGGAAAGAGGAGGAAGAGGGGAAGGAAAGGGGGGGCGCCGCCCCCCUUCCCUUGUCCUAUUCGGACUAGGAUGGGGAGGGGCGCGCGGCCCCCUCCUGGCUCCUUCCCUCUUCUCCCUCGUGCCCAUGUAGGCCCAAUAACCCUCGGGGGGUUCCGGUAACCUCCCGAUACUCCGGUAAAAUGCUGAUUUCACCCGGAACGAUUCCGGUGUCCAAAUAUAGGCUUCCAAUAUAUCGAUCUUUAUGUCUCGACCAUUUCGAGACUCCUCGUCAUAUCCAUGAUCACAUCCGGGACUCCGAACAAACUUCAGUACAUCAAAACUUAUAAACUCAUAAUAAAACUGUCAUUGUAACGUUAAGCGUGCGGACCCUACGGGUUCGAGAACUAUGUAGACAUGAACUAGAACUAUUCUCGGUCAAUAACCAAUAGUGGGACCUGGAUGCCCAUAUUGGUUCCUACAUAUUCUAUGAAGAUCUUUAUCAGUCAAACCGCAUAACAACAUACGUUGUUCCCUUUGUCAUCGGUAUGUUACUUGCCCGAGAUUUGAUCAUCGGUAUCCAAUACCUAGUUCAAUCUCGUUACCGGCAAGUCUCUUUACUCAUUCUGUAAUGCAUUAUCUCGUAACCAACUCAUUGGUCACAUUGCUUGCAAGGCUUAUAAUGAUGUGCAUUACCGAGAGGGCCCAGAGAUACCUCUUCGACUAUCGGAGUGACAAAACCUAAUCUCGAAAUACGCCAACUCAACAUGUACCUUUGGAGACACCUGUAGUACUCCUUUAUAAUCACCCAGUUACGUUGUGACAUUUGGUAGUACCCAAAGUGUUCCUCCGGUAAAUGGGAGUUGCAUAAUUCUCAUAGUUAUAGGAACAUGUAUAAGUCAUGAAGAAAGCAAUAGCAGUAUACUAAACGAUCAAGUGCUAGGCUAACGGAAUGGGUCAUGUCAAUCACAUCAUUAUUCUAAUGAUGUGAUCCCACUAAUCAAAUGACAACACAUGUCUAUGGUUAGGAAACAUAACCAUCUUUGAUUAAUGAGCUAGUCAAGUAGAGGCAUACUAGUGACUAUAGGUUUGUCUAUGUAUUCACACAUGUAUCAUGUUUCCGGUUAAUACAAUUCUAGCAUGAAUAAUAAACAUUUAUCAUGAUAUGAGGAAAUAAAUAAUAACUUUAUUAUUGCGUCUAGGGCAUAUUUCCUUCAGUCUCCCACUUGCACUCGAGUCAAUAAUCUAGAUUACAUAGUAAUGAUUCUAACACCCAUGGAGUCUUGGUGCUGAUCAUGUUUUGCUCGUGAGAGAGGCUUAGUCAACGGGUCUGCAACAUUCAGAUCCGUAUGUAUCUUGCAAAUCUCUAUGUCUCCCACGUGGACUUGGUCCCGAAUGGAAUUGAAGCGUCUCUUGAUGUGCUUGGUCCUCUUGUGAAAUCUAGAUUCCUUUGCCAAGGCAAUUGCACCAGUAUUGUCACAGAAGAUCUUCAUUGGUCCCGAUGCACUAGGUAUGACACCUAGAUCGGAAAUGAACUCCUUCAUCCAGACUCCUUCAUUUGCUGCUUCAGAAGCAGCUAUGUACUCCGCUUCACAUGUAGAUCCCGCCACGACGCUUUGUUUAGCACUGCACCAACUUACAGCUCCACCGUUUAAUAAAAACACGUAUCCGGUUUGCGAUUUAGAAUCGUCCAGAUCAGUGUCAAAGCUUGCAUCGACAUAACCAUUUACGACUAGCUCUUUGUCACCUCCAUAUACGAGAAACAUAUCCUUAGUCCUUUUCAGAUAUUUCAGGAUGUUCUUGACCGCUGUCAAGUGAUCCACUCCUGGAUUACUUUGGUACCUUCCUGCCAAACUUAUUGCUAAGCAUACGUCAGGUCUGGUACACAUCAUUGCAUACAUGAUAGAGCCUAUGGCUGAAGCAUAGGGAACAUCUUUCAUUUUCUCUCUAUCUUCUGCUUUGGUCGGGCAUUGAGUUUGACUCAACUUCACACCUUGUAGCACAGGCAAGAAACCUUUCUUUGCCUGAUCCAUUUUGAACUUUUUCGAAAUUUUGUCAAGGUAUGUGCUUUGUGAAAGUCCUAUUAAGCGUCUUGAUCUAUCUCUAUAGAUCUUGAUGCCCAAUAUGUAAGCAGCUUCACCGAGGUCUUUCAUUUAAAAACUUUUAUUCAAGUAUCCCUUUAUGCUAUCCAGAAAUUCUAUAUCAUUUUCAAUUAAUAAUAUGUCAUCUACAUAUAAUAUCAGAAAUGCUACAGAGCUCCCACUCACUUUCUUGUAAACACAGGCUUCUCCAAAAGUCUGUAUAAAACCAUAUGCUUUGAUCACACUAUCAAAGCGUUUAUUCCAACUCCGAGAUGCUUGCACCAAUCCAUAAAUGGAACGUUGGAGCUUGCACACUUUGUUAGCACCUUUUGGAUCAACAAAACCUUCUGGCUGCAUCAUAUACAACUCUUCUUCCAGAAAUCCAUUCAAGAAUGCAGUUUUGACAUCCAUUUGCCAAAUUUCAUAAUCAUGAAAUGCAGCAAUAGCUAACAUGAUUCGGAUAGACUUAAGCAUCGCUACGGGUGAGAAAGUCUCAUCGUAGUCAACUCCUUGAACUUGUCGAAAACCUUUCGGAACAAGUCGAGCUUUAUAGACAGUUACAUUACCAUCAGCGUCAGUCUUCUUCUUAAAGAUCCAUUUAUUUUCAAUGGCUUGCCGAUCAUCGGGCAAGUCAACCAAAGUCCAUACUUUGUUUCAUACAUGGAUCCCAUCUCAGAUUUCAUGGCCUCUAGCUAUUUUGGGAAUCUGGGCUCAUCAUCGCUUCCUCAUAGUUUGUAGGUUCAUCAUGGUCAAGUAACAUGGCUUCCAGAAUAGGAUUACCGUACCAUUCUGGUGCAGAUCUUACUCUGGUAGACCUACGAGGUUCAGUAGAAACUUGAUCUGAAGUUUCAUGAUCCAUAUCAUUAGCUUCCUCACUAAUUGGUUUAGUUGUCACAGGAACCGGUUCUUGUGAUGAACUACUUUCCAAUAAGGGAGUAGAUACAGUUAUCUCAUCAAGUUCUACUUUCCUCCCACUCACUUCUUUCGAGAGAAACUCCUUCUCUAGAAAGGAUCCGAUUUUAGCAACGAAAAUCUUGCCCUCAGAUCUGUGAUAGAAGGUGUACACAAUAGUCUCUUUUGGGUAUCCUAUGAAGACACAUUUCUCCGAUUUGGGUUCGAGCUUAUCUGGUUGAAGUUUCUUCACAUAAGCAUCGCAGCCCCAAACUUUAAGAAACGACAACUUUGGUUUCUUGCCAAACCACAGUUCAUAAGGCGUUGUCUUAACGGAUUUUGAUGGUGCCCUAUUUAACGUGAAUGCGUCCGUUUCUAUAGCAUAACCCCAAAACGAUAGCGGUAAAUCAGUAAGAGACAUCAUAGAUCACACAAUAUCUAGUAAAGUACGAUUACGACGUUCAGACACACCAUUUCGUUGUGGUGUUCCGGGUGGCGUGAGUUGCGAAACUAUUCCACAUUGUUUCAAGUGCAGACCAAACUCGUAACUCAAAUAUUCUCCUCCACGAUCAGAUCGUAGAAACUUUAUUUUCUUGUUACGAUGAUUUUCCACUUCACUCUGAAAUUCUUUGAACUUUUCAAAUGUUUCAGACUUGUGUUUCAUUGAGUAGAUAUACCCAUAUCUGCUCAAAUCAUCUGUGAAGGUGAGAAAAUAACGAUACCCGCCGCGAGCCUCAACAUUCAUUGGACCACAAACAUCAGUAUGUAUGAUUUCCAACAAAUCAGUUGCCCGCUCCAUAGUUCCGGACAACGGCGUUUUAGUCAUCUUGCCCAUGAGGCACGGUUCGCAAGUACCAAGUGAUUCAUAAUCAAGUGAUUCCAAAAGCCCAUCAGUAUGGAGUUUCUUCAUGCGCUUUGCACCGAUAUGACCCAAACGACAAUGCCACAAAUAAGUUGCACUAUCAUUAUCAACUCUGCAUCUUUUGGUUUCCACACUAUGAACAUGUGUAUCACUACUAUCGAGAUUCAAUAAGAAUAGACCACUCUUCAAGGGUGCAUGACCAUAAAAUAUAUUACUCAUAUAAAUAGAACAACCAUUAUUCUCUGAUUUAAAUGAAUAACCGUCUCGCAUCAAACAAGAUCCAGAUACAAUGUUCAUGCUCAACGCUGGCACCAAAUAACAAUUAUUUAGGUCUAAAACUAAUCCCGAUGGUAGAUGUAGAGGUAGCGUGCCGACCGCGAUCACAUCGACUUUGGAACCAUUUCCCACGCGCAUCGUCACCUCUUCCUUAGCCAAUCUUCGCUUAAUCCGUAGUCCAUGUUUCGAGUUGCAAAUAUUAGCAACAGAACCAGUAUCAAAUACCCAGGUGCUACUGCGAGCAUUAGUAAGGUACACAUCAAUAACAUGUAUAUCACAUAUACCUUUGUUCACUUUGCCAUCCUUCUUAUCCGCCAAAUACUUGGGGCAGUUCCGCUUCCAGUGUCCAGUCUGCUUGCAGUAGAAGCACUCAGUUUCAGGCUUAGGUCCAGACUUGGGUUUCUUCUCUUGAGCAGCAACUUGCUUGCCGUUCUUUUUGAAGUUCCCCUUCUUCUUCCCUUUGCCCUUUUUCUUGAAACUGGUGGUCUUGUUAACCAUCAACACUUGAUGCUCCUCCUUGAUUUCUACCUCCGCAGCUUUUAGCAUUGCGAAGAGCUCGGGACUAGUCUUGUUCAUCCCUUGCAUAUUAUAGUUCAUCACGAAGCUCUUGUAGCUUGGUGGCAGUGAUUGGAGAAUUCUGUCAAUGACACUAUCAUCAGGAAGAUUAACUCCCAGUUGAAUCAAGUGAUUAUUAUACCCAGACAUUUUGAGUAUGUGUUCACUGACAGAACUAUUCUCCUCCAUCUUGCAGCCAUAGAACUUAUUGGAGACUUCAUAUCUCUCAAUCCGGGCAUUUGCUUGAAAUAUUAACUUCAACUCCUGGAACAUCUCAUAUGCUCCAUGACGUUCAAAACGUCGUUGAAGACCCGGUUCUAAGCCGUAAAGCAUGGCACACUGAACUAUCGAGUAGUCAUCAGCUUUGCUCUGCCAGACGUUCUUAACAUCGUCAGUUGCAUCAGCAGUAGGCCUGGCACCCAGCGGUGCUUCCAGGACAUAACUUUUCUGUGCAGCAAUGAGGAUAAUCCUCAGGUUACGGACCCAGUCCAUGUAAUUGCUACCAUCAUCUUUCAACUUUGCUUUCUCAAGGAACGCAUUCAAAUUCAAUGGAACAACAGCACGAGCCAUCUAUCUACAAACAAACAUAGACAAGCAAAAUACUAUCAGGUACUAAGUUCAUGAUAAAUUUAAGUUCAAUUAAUCAUAUUACUUAAGAACUCCCACUUAGACAGACAUAUCUCUAGUCAUCUAAGUGAUCACGUGAUCCAAAUCAACUAAACCAUGUCCGAUCAUCACGUGAGAUGGAGUAGUUUCAAUGGUGAACAUCACUAUGUUGAUCAUAUCUACUAUAUGAUUCACGCUCGACCUUUCGGUCUCCGUGUUCCGAGGCCAUAUCUAUAUAUGCUAGGCUCGUCAAGUAUGACCUGAGUAUUCCGCGUGUGCAACUGUUUUGCAUCCGUUGUAUUUGAACGUAGAGCCUAUCACACCCGAUCAUCACGUGGUGUCUCAGCACGAAGAACUUUCGCAACGGUGCAUACUCAGGGAGAACACUUCUUGAUUAUUAAGUGAGAGAUCAUCUUAAAAUGCUAUCGUCAAUCAAAGCAAGAUAAGAUGCAUAAAGGAUAAACAUCACAUGCAAUCAAUAUAAGUGAUAUGAUAUGGCCAUCAUCAUCUUGUGCUUGUGAUCUCCAUCUUCGAAGCACCAUCGUGAUCACCAUCGUCAUCGGCGCGACACCUUGAUCUCCAUCGUAGCAUUAUUGUCGUUACGAUGUCUAUUGCUUCUACGACUAUCGCUACCGCUUAGUGAUAAAGUAAAGCAAUUACAGGGCGUUUGCGUUUCAUACAAUAAAGCGACAACCAUAUGGCUCCUGCCAGUUGCCGAUAACUUCGGUUACAAAACAUGAUCAUCUCAUACAAUAACAUAUAGCAUCACGUCUUGACCAUAUCACAUCACAACAUGCCCUGCAAAAACAAGUUAGACGUCCUCUACUUUGUUGUUGCAAAUUUUACGUGGCUGCUACGGGCUUUAGCAAGAACCGUUCUUACCUACGCAUCAAAAACCACAACGAUAGUUCGUCAAGUUGGUGUUGUUUUAACCUUCGCAAGGACCGGGCAUAGCCACACUCGAUUCAGCUAAAGUGAGAGAGACAAACACCCGCCAGCCACCUUUAAGCACGAGUGCUUGUAACGGUGAAACCAGUCUCGCGUAAGCGUACGCGUAAUGUCGGUCCGGGCCGCUUUAUCUCACAAUACCGCGGAACCAAAGUAUGACAUGCUGGUAAGCAGUAUGAGUUGUAUCGCCCACAACUCACUUGUGUUCUACUCGUGCAUAUAACAUGAACGCAUAAAACCUAGGCUCUGAUACCACUGUUGGGGAACGUAGUAAUUUCAAAAAAAUUCCUACGCACACGCAAGAUCAUGGUGAUGGUAUAGCAACAAGAGGGGAGAGUGUUGUCCACGUACCCUCAUAGACCGUAAGCGGAAGCGUUAGCACAAUGCGGUUGAUGUAGUCGUACGUCUUCACGAUCUGACCGAUCCAAGCACCGAACGUACGGGGCCUCCGAGUUCAGCACACGUUCAGCUCGAUGACGAUCUCCGACCCUCCAAUCCAGCAAAGGCUCCAGAGAUGAGUUCCGUCAGCACGACGGCGUGGUGACGAUGAUGAUGUUCUACCGGCGCAGGGCUUCGCCUAAACUCCGCGACGAUAUGACCGAGGUGGAAUAUGGUGGAAGGGGGCACCGCACACGGCUAAGGAACGAUCCGUAGAUCAACUUGUGUGUCAUUGGGGUGCCCCCCGCCCCCGUAUAUAAAAGAGCCAGGGGGGAGGAGGCGGCCGGCCUAGAGGGCGCGCCAAGGGGGGAGUCCUACUCCCACCGGGAGUAGGACUCCCUCUUUCCUAGUAGGAUUAGGAGAAGGGGGGAAAGAGGAGGAAGAGGGGAAGGAAAGGGGGGGCGCCGCCCCCCUUCCCUUGUCCUAUUCGGACUAGGAUGGGGAGGGGCGGGCGGCCCCCUCCUGGCUCCUUCCCUCUUCUCCCUCGUGGCCCAUGUAGGCCCAAUAACCCCCCGGGGGGUUCCGGUAACCUCCCGGUACUCCGGUAAAAUGCCGAUUUCACCCGGAAUGAUUCCGAUGUCCAAAUAUAGGCUUCCAAUAUAUCGAUCUUUAUGUCUCGACCAUUUUGAGACUCCUCGUCAUGUCCGUGAUCACAUCCGGGACUCCGAACAAACUUCGGUACAUCAAAACUUAUAAACUCAUAAUAAAACUGUCAUUGUAACGUUAAGCGUGCGGACCCUACGGGUUCGAGAACUAUGUAGACAUGACCUAGAACUAUUCUUGGUCAAUAACCAAUAGCGGGACCUGGAUGCCCAUAUUGGUUCCUACAUAUUCUACGAAGAUCUUUAUCGGUCAAACCGCAUAACAACAUACGUUGUUCCCUUUGUCAUCGGUAUGUUACUUGCCCGAGAUUUGGUCGUCGGUAUCCAAUACCUAGUUCAAUCUCGUUACUGGCAAGUCUCUUUACUCGUUCUGUAAUGCAUUAUCUCGUAACCAACUCAUUGGUCACAUUGCUUGCAAGGCUUAUAAUGAUGUGCAUUACCGAGAGGGCCCAGAGAUACCUCUCCGACUAUCGGAGUGACAAAACCUAAUCUCGAAAUACGCCAACUCAACAUGUACCUUUGGAGACACCUGUAGUACUCCUUUAUAAUCACCCAGUUACGUUGUGACGUUUGGUAGUACCCAAAGUGUUCCUCCGGUAAACGGGAGUUGCAUAAUUCUCAUAGUUAUAGGAACAUGUAUAAGUCAUGAAGAAAGCAAUAGCAGUAUACUAAACGAUCAAGUGCUAGGCUAACGAAAUGGGUCAUGUCAAUCACAUCAUUCUUCUAAUGAUGUGAUCCCACUAAUCAAAUGACAACACAUGUAUAUGGUUAGGAAACAUAACCAUCUUUGAUUAAUGAGCUAGUCAAGUAGAGGCAUAGUAGUGACUAUAGGUUUGUCUAUGUAUUCACACAUGUAUCAUGUUUCCGGUUAAUACAAUUCUAGCAUGAAUAAUAAACAUUUAUCAUGAUAUGAGGAAAUAAAUAAUGACUUUACUAUUGCCUCUAGGGCAUAUUUCCUUCAAGCAUGACCUAGGAAAGUGUGCCCGGCCAAAUGGGAUCGAGCGUGUUGGGUUAUGUGGUGCACCCCUGCAGGGAAGUUUAUCUAUUCGAAUAGCCGUGUCCCUCGGUAAAAGGACGACCUGGAGUUAUACCUUGACCUUAUGACAACUAGAACCGGAUACUUAAUAAAACACACCCAGACAAGUUCCACAGACAACCCGGUGAUCGCUUUUCCACAGGGCGACGAGGGGAGGAUCGCCGGGUAGGAUUAUGCUAUGCGAUGCUACUUGGAGGACUUCAAUCUACUCUCUUCUAAAUGCUGCAAGACGGAGGCUACCAGAAGCGUAGUCUUCGAUAGGACUAGCUAUCCUCCUCUUAUUCUGGCAUUCAGCAGUUCAGUCCACCGAUAUUGCCUCUUUACACAUAUACCCAUGCAUAUGUAGUGUAGAUCCUUGCUUGCGAGUACUUUGGAUGAGUACUCACGGUUGCUUUGCUCCCUCUUUUCCCCUGUUUUCCUCUUCUUCUCGGAUGCUGAAACCAGACGUUGGAGCCCAGGAUCUAGAUGCCAUCGUCGAUGACGAGUAAUACACUGGAGGAGCCUACUACUACGUGCAGUCCGCUGACGACGACCAGGAGUAGUUUAGGAGGAUCCCAGGCAGGAGGCCUGCGCCUCUUUCGAUCUGUAUCCCAGUUUAUGCUAGCCAUCUUAUGGCAACUUGUUUAACUUAUGUCUGUACUCAGAUAUUGUUGCUUCCGCUGACUCGUCUAUGAUCGAGCACUUGUAUUCGAGCCCCUCGAGGCCCCUGGCUUGUAUUAUGAUGCUUGUAUGACUUAUUUUACUUUUAGAGUUGUGUUGUGAUAUCUUUCCGUGAGUCCCUGAUCUUGAUCAUACACAUUUGCGUGCAUGAUUAGUGUACGGUUGAAUCGGGGGCGUCACAUGAAUCCACCUCAAUAACCUUCCCUAUUUGUUCUCCUAUUUUCGCCUCAUAGUAGGUGUUCCGUCCACGACUAUUCCGAUUCUGAGGAAACCCGACUUCAAGUUAAAGUUCCAGGCUCGCACCCCCGCGUCGCCUCCUCUGAGGCGACUCGGGGGCCAACCCUAGCACCGCUGCCGCGUUUUCCCCCUCUCCUCCCCUCUCUGCUGCCGCCUGAGGGCCUCCGAGGCGCGGGUGCUCGGCCUCAAUGAUGGCGGCGGCGGGAUCUGGCGCCUCCUCUCCUUUGGAGGGCCUUGGUUCCGCGGGGCGGCGGCCCCGGCCGGUUGGCGCGGUGCAGCCGGCGGGCUGCGCCGGCGGGCUCUGCUGGGCAGCCUCCCACAGCCGCGCGGACGGUGUGGGGGCUGUGGACGCCGGCGCAGUAGUGGCUCCUCGCAAUCCGUCAUGGCUCCAUGUAGAAGAUCCGCCCCUGCUCCGAUCUGUCCCGAUCCGUGCUGGCACCGAUCCUUGGCGGCUACUUUCGGCGUCCCUAUUGCCGGCCUGGCGGAUCUGGCGUGCGGGUGAGGGUCCGGGGGAAACCCCUGGCUGGCGCGGCGGCCUCCCCAAAGUCGACGCCUUUGGUGUCGAUCCCCUUCCUGGAGGUUUUGGGGUGGAUCCUCUCCCUUCCGCCUCCUCCUCGAGCUAUGGCGAAAGCUUUUGUUCCCAUGUUCUGGGCGUCGACGACACCCUGGUGUCGUGUUCCUUCUUGAAGGCGGCGGCCGGGAACAACUCUUGGUGGCGAGGCUGCUGGUGGCAUGGUGGCGGUGCGACUUCGGCCUUCUACUUGGUGUUGCGCCUUGCUUCGCGGCACCAGCGGACGGUUUCUUUGGUGGAGCGGUGCUUCAUCCAUCCAUUGAUGGCGACGGAUCUUUACGGCAUUGCGCAGUGCAGAUUCGACGUUCGAUGUGGGAGGAUGGACUCGCGCAGGAGGACGACGCUGUCUGGCGCCGUGGUGGCGCCGAUGACAGAGAGACCUGGCAAGGUAGAUGCAACAGUACAACUCUGAAGAUGGACUCGUGGUAGGUGGCUGCGGCGGCCUCGUACCUAGCAGGCGUCCUGGUUGAGGAGUGCGCCAGACUCGUAGGUGCCUCAUACCAGGCAGGCGUCCUGGUUGGGACCUCAGGUCUUAGAUGUUUAGGUUUGGUUGCGAUGUCUGUUUGGUAUUAGGCCCAGGCUAUCAGCGCCCCUUCAUCAAUUGGAUAGAUGUAGCGACAGUUGUUGCUUAGACGGUGGCUUUAGUCUUGCUGUUGUAUGACUUUGUAAAGUCUUGUGAGAAUAAUUAAUAAAAUGACCGUAUGCAUCGCCCAAAUGCAAAGGCCGGGGGUCAUCCUCCUUUAAAAAAAAAAAUGUUCCGUCCACGAGCACCUUGCAGGCUUCUUGAUAAUGCCCCGGCGGGCUUCUCCCCUUUUCCGUUCCCUUUUUGCUUUCGCUAUCAAUUAGUGGAAAAGGGUGUGAGCCCGGUUGAAAAAGAAAAUCCACACCUAGAAGCAAAACGCAGCAAGCCGUUGGAUUUCUCGUCGUACGAAGGUAGAACAAUAAGUAUCGUGUGUAUAGCGGUUUGGAUACACAGGCGUGACUACUCCUCCGUAUACGUAGAGUGAGGUAAUGUACAUAAAUGCGACAACAGUUACUCCCACCCCCACCCCCCAUCCCUACAGCCUGCAGCUGAAUUUACAGCGACAACAGUACUUGCCUGUACGUGCUGCAACCUGCAAUGCCAUGUGGUAACUUCAAAGCUAGCUAACGCUCUUUCUUUUCAGUUUUGAUAAUAAUUUCUUUUUUCUUUUUACUAUUGCCGAGCUGUGGUGUUUUUCAUCCUCUGUCUUGGUCUUAAUUUAUAAGAGUACAGUACUACUUCCACCGUCUCAUAAUUUAAGAUCAUUUUGCAAGACGGAAGGACUAGUUUUUUUUUUAAAAUGAAAACGGAGGGAGUAGCUAAUUAACCAGGCCGUGUUAAUUGGGCUUCCAACUCGUGUCGUCUGAAGACAUCUCUUUCUUCUUCCCUUCAUUUUUUUUUUACUCCAGUACCGUUCAAGAUAUCUGUUGAUGCACUUCAGUUAGGAAAUCUCCAAUGGUGAUGGGGACUUAAGAAAAACUUGUCUAGAUCGUCAAGUUUCAUUCAGCCAAUCGACACUACUGAGCUCAGCAAUAUACUCCGACCAAAACACAAUAUGAGUUUGCUGUUCCAACCAAAUGGUAAUCGAGCUCGUAAUUAACAAGUGAACCAACAAAAGAUUACUACAAUAAUACUUCAUUCAUUUCAUCAUUGCAUACCACGGCACAAGCUGACACGUACAUCUAGCAUUAUUCAUAUGCCUCAAGAACAUGCACCACUACUACAGAUAACCAAGAACUUAACACGACCGACCGACAGAGAUGGACCUAACGACGUAAUUAAGCGACAAACACAACAAACAAAUCGAGUUCUCCAAACGUACGUACGCGCGGCGUAUAGCGCCCACAGAACCAGCAUGCAUGCACGCUACGAGUAGCACUACCGAACCAUCAACCAUGCGCCCCGUCAGUGCUUGCCACACACCAGCGGAUCUAGCUAUCAACGGCCGCCCUCAGCUUUUCACGGCUUCUUGGCGUGCUCGUCGACGGCAGCUGCAGCGGGGGACCCCGGCAUGCCGCCGAAGCCGCCGAGACCGGGGGAGCCGCCGAGGCCGGGGGAGCUGCCGCCGAGGAAGGGCAUGCUGCCGAUGCCGCCGAAGCCCGAGGUGGCGCCGCUGCUGCCGGGGAGGCUGAAUCCCGGCAUGCUGCUGCCGCCGCUGAAUGCCGGUGACCCGCUGCCGAGGCGGUCGAAGGGCGGGAAGGUCGUCGGCUGCAGGACCGCGUCCUUGCUGGCGGCUGCCGCCUCCGUCGUCUUGAUGUUCCUCGCCUCGGCGCUGGUCGCCGCGGCCAGCACGGCGAGGACGAGCAUCGCCGCCAUCUUGGUCGACUUCUCCAU
rnacentral:lncRNA from 1 species